CAAAAUCAACUUUAGAAAGUCUCUCUCCUAUCUCUUGAUCGUGAUAAGAUCUAAAUUUCAUGUCUCCAUAUAAUGAUAAGAACCAUUUAUUGAUUGUUUCCUGCAACUUGGGAAACAAAAUUUAAACAGUAGUCUCUUUAUUGUACAUAUAUUAUAUUAUAACCAAAUCUUUUUGUUUUUCUGUAAAAAUCACUCAUGUAGUUGCCAUUGAAGCAUUUCAUGAUCGUCAUAUGAAAAUGGAAAAUAAAAAUUUUUGACAUCAUCAAAAGAAAAUAAAAUCUUAGUGAUAGGUACCUUUAUAGUCGGUUGAGUAUAAUAAAAUCAAAUCUUUACGUUUGCAUGUGGUUAACAUAGGAUUAUUUUAGAUUCAGUAUAUGAAAUACAACAAAUAAAAAUUUAAUUACGAGUCCUUUUAUAUUUUCCUUGAUUAUAAUGAGACUUGAAUUCUGCAUUUUUGUACAGUGAGCACAUAAUCUUUGUAUGGCCACCAUAUAAUACAUUUAUUAUAUUAAAAUCCAAAUUUUAAAUUUUAUUUAGAAAUCACAUAUACAGUUACCAUGAAAUUAUUCCAUGUUCACUAUCUAGAAAUGGGAAAUAAAACAUAUCAAUAUUACCAAAAUGACAAUGAAAACUUAAUGACAAAUACCUUUGUAAUUGAUUGAGUAUAAUAGAGCCAAACUUUUAUGUUUUUGUGUACUCGGCAUGAGAUCAUUUCAUGCUCAUGGCAUAAAAAUACAGAAAAUAAAUUUUAAUGAUAAGCCCGGUACAUUUUCAUUGAUUAUAGGGAGAAUUGAAUUUUGUGUUUUUUUUACAAUUAGCCCAUAAUCUUUGUAAGGCCAUCAUAUGAAAUUUUCGAAGUCAAAUUUAAAGAUGUAUCAUUCUUUAGUUCACUAAUCGUAAUAAGGCUUAAAUAUAGUGUUUCCAUAUGAUGAUUAGAGAACUAUUCCAUGGUUAGUACAUAACUAUGAAAGAUAAAAUUUUACAAUAGAUCCUUUCAUAUUUCAUUUAUUAAAUUAAGGUAUAAAUUUUGCAUUCCCAGAUAUUGACAACAGAACCAUUUUGUACUUCUGAUAUGAAAGAUGGAUUAUGAAAUUUUUAUUUUAGUAUUUGCUCCAUCCCUGAUAAAAACCCAAUCUACUCCACAUGUGCUUUUUGCCAAAUUGAGCAUGGCAUGAUAUAUUGCUCGCAUGAAGUACUUUGGAAAACUCAUGCCUAUUUCUUGCCACCACUAGGUACUCAUCACAUGUUUAUGAUGCUUGAUGCCUUAAUUAAAAUCAAAAAAAUCAGUAUAGAAGGUUCCAUUGAUUGCUGGUGAAACCAAUUGAAACAAAAAAAAUUAAUAUAGAAGGUUUUGAUAAUUGAUGAUGAAAUCAAACCUCACAAAUACAAACACAGACAAAUAAAAAAAAAUAUCAAUAAUAAUUAGAGCCUCCACCAUAAACCAAUGUCAUGGCCAAUUUAAUAUAAAGGAAUGACUAUUGUAGGCACAAUAUGUUGUGAACUUCCUUGCAAUGAAUCAAACUCCAAAAAUCUAAAUGGUGGAUUAAUGGAUAUUGGACUCCAUUUCACUAAUACAUUCCUCGCGUUAGCAACUAUAGACAACCUCGGCCUAGAGUCACAUAUUGAUAUACUGGACAAUAGAGCUCAACAUGCAAUGUCUUAAAAAUAGCAAGCUCAUGUUGGUCUAAAUAAUACAUUUGCAUCAGUAAUAAUUGAUAUUAAAUGAAGAUAGAGAAGAAGUUAGGUCUUUUCAUGGGGGUCAUGCUGUGGAUCCUCGGGCCUUUUAUCCGAUUGCUUGGGAUUCGGUUUGUUUGCCUUAGUCAAAUAAUGGAUUGGGAUUUCAAUCUUUAUAAGUUUAGUGUAAAUUUUAUGGGUCGUAUAAAUUAGCUAUUCUGUUGGUUCUUUAUUUUUCCUCUCUUUCGAUAGAGCUGGCAAUUUUUGAUACAAUCCGUUGACACAAAUACGACACGAUACGUACUUAGGUGAGUUCAGAUUUAGAAUAAAUAUGUUCGAAUCAUAAAUGGAUUGAUCCAUUUAUGACAUGAUAAAUUCGUGCCUUAAGCAAGUUGACUUAUGUAAUCCAUUUUGACCCGUUGAACUAAAUGGAUUAAAACAAGUUAACAGGCUAUACGACAUGUUUAAAUAUAUUUAAUAUAUUUAUUUUAAAAUUAAUUGAGUGCAAAUGAGGAAAAUAAAAAAAAUUAUAUCCCUAACCUAAAACAAAUGACGAUGGAAUUUAGAGUUGUGAAUUAACAUAGCAAGUAACUAAAUUAUUUUUAUAUUAAUUUAUUUUUUUGAUUUAAUUUUUAUUAUUUUAGUUAAAUUUUGUAAAUAAGUCAAAUAGUUAAAUGGAUCAUUCGGUGGGUCUUGUACCCAUUAGAUCUGCCAACAUGAUUAUUAAUCAUGUCAGACGGAUCGCGUCGUGUCAAUCCGUAUAUGUUUGUGUCGUGUUCGUAUUCCACAGGUCGAUCCGUUUAAUUAAACGAGUCGUGUUCGGAUUGAACUAAUCUGUGUUACAUCCCCAAGUCGACAUGAUCCGUUUAUGACCCGUGAACACGAAUUGCCAGCCCUAUCUUUGGGCCUAGUUAGUCAAAGCUAAAUAUCAUUUCAAUGGAUCUUAGUUUGGGUAUACCCAACCUAGGAGUUCUUCCAUUAUCCGGAGGAAGAUUUCUGAGGUUAAGACUCAUACGAAAUUCCAAUUUCAAUGGCUUGUUGGGUCAAGUGCUUCCAUGAAUUUUUACAAAGAUCAUUGGAUUAUAACCAUUCCGAUAAUGUCAAUCUUAACAUGCAUAUGCUAGAUUUGAUGGCUCUUGAUAGAACUUGGGAUUUUCAGCGUCUUGCUCAAUAUUUUUCAAUCAAACUUCGUAGGCUCAUAACCACUAGUCCUCCAUCUCAGGGUGAUUGAUCGGACCAGUUGGUGUGGGGUUCUUCAAAACUCGUGCAUGUUUCCUUACAGGGCAUGAAACGGUUGUCAAUUUCUAAUAAUGUUCAAGUUUUACACGUUAGAUGUGCAUGGAUCUGAUCUUUAAAGGUUCCUCUGCAGGUUAAAACUUUUCUCUGGAGGCUUGUUUGCGAUCGAUUGCCUUCAAAACUUUGCUAGCGCAUUAUAAUAUUAUUUCUUUGGAUGACCAGUUUUGUAAUUUAUGUCCAUAUCAAGUAGAGGACUGUGCUCAUCUUAUUAUCCAUUUGUGAUUUUGCUCAGCUUUGUUGGCAGCACUUACGCUGUAUGUGCCGAGUGAAUUUCUGUCCGAAUUCUCUGUCGGCAUUCGUAGAGGAGGAGUAAAAAUUGCACGUCGUAUAUGUAGUGGUUGCUACUUUGGGCUCGUAAUGAGUGAAUUUUUAGUAAUACUUAGAUGAUGUCGUUGCAAAUUCUGUGUCGGCUAUUGGUAUUUGCUGAAGACCAUGCAUGGUUGCCUUCAUCUUCAACGUUCGCAAGUCCUAACACUGGGGUAGCCAACUAUUACAAAAGGAGUUGUUCUUUUGCCAACCUCGAUGAGUGUCAUAGCUACCCCCUUCAAUUGGGUUUCUUAAAAUUAAUUUUGAUAUGCUUGUGACCGGUGACAAGGCAGGCGCUGGUUAUGUUCUUAGAAAUCAUGAUAUUAUGCUACUGAGGGCAGAUGGUAAGUUGCUUAUGUUUCUGUAUCUUUUGUUGAGUUACUUGCUACUUGGCUUGGGGUUCCGAUUGCUUUAUCGAAACUACGUGCCACUUAUAUAUGGUUGGAAGGGGAUUCUGCUACUGUUGUUUCAUGGUUAAAUGAUUCCUCUCUGCACAGAUUUAGCCUUAUACCUCCCGUUAAAGACUUAUGCCAAUGAAAAGCAUAUGUGACUUCUCAUAAAAUUAUGCAUAUUUUUAGACAAGCUAAUUGGGUUGCAGAUUUUAUGGCUAAUAAGACUUUGCAAAGGGACUUUUCUUGGACCACCUGUAUUUAUCUUUUACAGGCAAGUGCUCAUGGAGUUUGUUUCACUAGAUAAUUCCUAUUAUUUUGAUAUGGAUAACUGUUGCCAUCUCUUUUUUAGCACUCUGGCUGUUUUUAUGAUUUGUAUGUCUGUAUUAACUUUAUAUGCUAUCUCGCUUCCUCGUUUCAGUUUGCUCAGAGAAUCAUCCAUUUGAUGCAGAGAGUCCCUAGCCUACACUUUCAGUUCAUAGUAGUUUCUUUUAUUGAUUAUGAGGCCCUGAAAAUGUCUAUUUCAGAUCGGAAGGAAGUGAUGUUUAUGAGAGUUUCUGUUUAACAAGUAUAUUUUUUGUAUUUAUGUAGGUUACUUUUAUUCCAUAUCCUUCUUCUAUGGCUGCCUCUUUUAGAGCACAUGGUUGGUCCCGCAGCUUGUACGCUCCUUCUCUACGGCACUGGUUGCUUUCUAUUUUGCUGGAUGGCGAUAACCAAGUUUUUACGCAAGUUUAUGAAAGUAGUUUACAUGGCCUGGACAAGUUAUUCAUGCUUAGAAGAAUUACACAGUAUCUAAAAUCAAGUUGUGGGAGAAUGCUUCAAAAUGGAAUAUUGUCCAUACAUCAAAAGCACCAAUACUUUCCAUCAAAAAUGAAGGGAGUGAUUCGAGCUUUCUUUCUAGAGGAUCAUAUCGAAAUCAUUGGGAAAGUUAUGGAGAUAGCUGUUGAUGGGAGUUUGGUGCUUGAUACAAAAAGAAAUUGUGGAAAUGGUUUCAAGAAGACAUGUUACACAGAGGAAAAAAAAAGAUUCUGCAAAUGGAUGUCAAAAUGAUCGAAAAAAUUGGAGAGAUCAUAAAAAUGGAGCAUUCUGGAAAAAAAAUAAAUAAAUAGAUGGAAUUGUUGAGGGAGAUUUUCUAACAUAUUUGCUUCUUUAUUCUGUGUAGGUUAUCCCCUGGUUCUAUUUUCUUCAAGGGCCAAAUGUUACUCCUGUUGCUAUAUGUCUAUCUCUAUCUUUUUCUUUGCAACAACAAGUUCUGUUUGCCUACAUUGUGCUUCGGAUUUGCUGAUCUUAUAUACAUCUUAUACCUAUUGGCUAUUAUUACUUCCGUGUUUCUACUCACGACAUGAAUGCAUCUGAUUCCCUUGUAUUAUCUCUGUUGCUGCUUAUCCUUUAUGCUCCCACCAUUUCAAUGUCAGUGCAAUCACAGAACCUGGAAAGAAUGGAUGCUUCUCGCAGUUGCUCUUAAUUUUUCGUAUCUUUAUCUUGCUGCUUCUCUGCCGGUUGCUGCUUAAUUUCUUUCAUCACUGCCUUCAGAUUUUAACAUGUCCUGACUCCUCAUCUCAGUUAUAGUUCUCAGCACUUUGGAAAAGGUUUCAAGGCAUCUCCAACUUUAAUCAUGAUGCUUCUCCAGACUCUGCUCCAAUGCUCUGGUUGGCUGGAUCUUUUGGCUUUCCUUUUAAGCUUCAACACUGAUUGGGUUCCAAGGCACUAUCUUCCUUAUAUGUCAUCCAAUAUUCAGUAUAAGCAAAGCUCCAACUCAGUCGACUUGUUUUUCAGUCUUUUCACUAUAUGGUUUCAGUUUGCAUAUCAAUAUCAUCAUUGGUAUAUCUCAUUCUAUAUAUAUUUCUUUAUCCAAUAGGGGCUACACUAUUGAAGACAUUUAAGACAUUACCUGUUGUCAAAGUAUUUCACAACUUUGCUUUUUCACCAUACUUGAUGACAAAGUUCCCAAAGACUACAGAUUAUAUGUAUUAUGUUUUCUUCUUCUUCUUAUCUCUAUGUAAUAUUGGUGUCUUGUCUAGGUGCGAGGAUUCGUACGCACAUAUAUUUAGUUUCACAUUAAUUAUUCGUCAGAAAAUCUUAGGUAGUUAUACAGGGCUAAAGAAUCUAGAUAAUAUCUUUCGGUUGGUCUUUUUGGAUAAGAUCAUGAAUUAUUAUAAAUAGUAUCAGAGUUGAUCCAACUCAUAAUCUGUAUGACCUAGGAAAUACUGCAGUAUGGGUUCAUUGAUAUUGAUCACGGGCCAAUCAUGGUGUUUAUAAAUAGAUGCAUGGAUUUAGAUCCUUUACCUGAUGAGGAUAUUAGGAUUUAAAUAGAGUAUGUGAGGAAAUGUGUAGAUGUAUAUUUAGUCCCACAUCAUUUAUUCAUUGAGAAGAUCUUGGAUAUUUAUAUAGUACCAAAGAUCCAAUAACACAUUCUGACUAAUCUUUUUGGAUGAGAUCCUGAGUUGUAAUAAAUAGUAUGAACCGAUCCGGUCUAUAGCCUAUGUGAAUUAGGGGAUAUUGUAGUAUGGAUUCAAUGAGGUUGACCCCGAGCUAAUCGUAGUGUUUGUGAAUGGAAGUAUGGACUUAGAUCCUUAAUCUCACAAGAACGUCAAGGCUUAAAGGUGGAGAAUAUGUGAGCGUGUAUUUAAUCCCGCAUCAAUUAUUCACUGGAAAGAUCUUGCGUUCUUAUACAAAAUGAGGUCUUGAGUUGUUGUAAAUAAUAUCAGAGCUAAUCCAGCAUAUAGCCUAUAUGGAUGAGAAGAUACUACAGUAUAGGACUUAAAGGGAGAAAUAUGUGAGGACUCAUCUUAGUACUUAUACAAGGCUCAAGGCUAGAGAACCUAAAUAAUAUCUUCCGACUGAUUGUUUUAGAUGAGAUUUUGACUUGUUAUACCAAGUCUACUGUAUGCUGAUGUCUGUCUCCAUUUCCUUUAAUAUGAUUAUCAGCCUUCACUACCAAAAAAAAAAAGGCAUUAGGGUACAUGCAAAAUUCUUUGUACACUGCCCGCGGUGUAGAAAAUCUGACGUGGAGCACACCAUCUCACUCGAUUGGUCCACGUAACAUCCUUAUGGUGAGAUAUGACGUGCAUUAUUUUGUGUCAAAUCGAGCAUCUAAAGGCAUGAAAAAAAUGGAGACAGCAUCUUGUUUCAUCGUCGAAUAUAUUUAAUGUAUAUUACAGGCUGCUUUUCAAAUUAAACGUGACGAAAAUAUCUUUUCUCUUCAAAACGAAGUAUUUUUACUAUUUUGAAGUUUGGUUGGACAUUACGAAUGCUGUUCUUCUCUCUCUCUUCUUCCUCAUUUUGUGGAGCUUCUGCCUGAGCAUUUGGAUGUCUGAAGUUUAUUAUGCAGCGAGAAUUAUUCAUCCAAGACUAUUGGCUAGCAUUUAAACAAUAUUAUCCAUCCAAGCAACAUGCCUUAUCCAUCCAGUUGGUUCAAAUAUUUUUUUUUUAAUUUUGAAUACAGCAUGUCAUAUAAAUUUUUUUAAAAAAUUAUAUAAUAAGUCAAGAUGUCAUAAUUUCUAUUCAUGAUGGUUUUUGAUAAUAUUAUGAUAUCUAAAAUCAAAAUUAUGAUAUUAUAGAUUCAUAUUAUGAUAUUGUAGGUUAAAAUUAUGAUAUCCUAAAGAUAAAACACUAUCUUAAGAUAGUUUUGCUAAUAUUAUGAUAUCUUAGAUCAAAAUUAUGACUUAUAGAUUAAUAAUAUAAUAUUCUAUAGGUAAAAUACCUCUCAAGUAUACUUUUUGAUAUUUUUAUGAUAUCUUGAGUCAAAAUUAUGACAUUUUAUAUUAAUAUUAUAUGACAUUCUAUAGAUAAAAUAUCUUCUAAAGAUAGUUUUGAUAAUAUUAUGAUAUUCUAUAUCAAAAUUAUGAUAUUUUAGAUAAAUAUUAUGACAUCUAGAAUAUAAAAUAUUUUGAUAUUUUUUAAUAAUUUUAUGAUAUUCUAAAAUAAAAUUAUGAUAUUCAAAGUUAAAAUUAUGAUAUCUUAUAAAUAAAAUAUCUCUCAAAGAUAGUUUUGACAAUAUUAAGAUAUGUUAGAUUAAAAUUAUAAUAUUUUAUACUAAUAUUAUGAUAUAUAAAAGAUAAAACAUCUUAAAAUUGAUAUUUUUUGAUAAUUUUAUGACAACCUAGAUCAAAAUUAUGAUAUUUUAUACUAAAAUUAUGGUAUCCUAUAGAAAAAUAUCUUUUAAAGAUAGUUUCGACAAUAUUAUGGUAUCCUAAAUCACAAUUAUAUUAUUUUAUAUUAAUAUUAUAAGAUUUAAAAGAUAAAAUACUUCAAAAUUGAUAUUUUUUGAUAAUUUUAUGAUAUUCUAGAUCAAAAUUAUGAUAUUUUAUGUUAAAAUUAUGACAUCUUAUAAGAAUAAUAUCNNNNNNNNNNNNNNNNNNNNUAUAGAAAAUAUCUUUUAAAGAUAGUUUCGACAAUAUUAUGGUAUCCUAAAUCAAAAUUAUAAUAUUUUAUAUUAAUAUUAUAAGAUUUAAAAGAUAAAAUACUUCAAAAUUGAUAUUUUUUGAUAAUUUUAUGAUAUUCUAGAUCAAAAUUAUGAUAUUUUAUGUUAAAAUUAUGACAUCUUAUAGAUAAAAUAUCUUUCAAAAAUAGUUUGAAUGAUAUUAUGAUAUUUUAAAUUAAAAAUUAUAAUAUUUUAUAUUAAUAUUAUGAUAUUCAAAAGAUAAAAUAUCUCAAAAUUAAUAUUUUUUUAAUAAUUUUUAUAAUAUUUUAAAUUAAAAUUAUAAUAUUUUAUGUUAAAAUUAUGACGUUAUAUAGAUAAAAUAUCUUUCAAAGAUAGUUUUGAUAAUAUUGUGACAUCUUAAAUCAAAAUUAUAAUAUUUUAUAUCAAUAUUAUAAUAUUCAAAAGAUAAAAUAUAUCAAAAUUUAUAUUUUUUAAUAAUUUUAUAAUAUUUUAGAUCAAAAUUAUGAUAUUUUAUGUUAAAAUUAUGACAUCUUAUAAAUAAAAUAUCUUUCAAAGAUAGUUUUAACAAUAUUAUGACAUCCUACAUCAAAAUUAUAAUAUUUUAUAUUAAUAUUAUGAUAUUUAAAAGAUAAAAUAUUUUAAAAUUAAUAUUUUUUGAUAAUUUUAUGACAUCUUAUAUCAAAAUUAUGAUAUUCUAUGUUAAAAUUUAUAAUAUCCUAUCAAUAAAAUAUCUUUCAAAGAUAGUUUCGAUAAUAUUAUAAUAUUUUAAAUUAAAAUUAAAAUAUUUUAUAUUAAUAUUAUGACAUUCAAAAGAUAAAAUAUCUCAAAAUUAAUAUUUUUUGAUAAUUUUAUAAUAUCUUAGAUCAAAAUUAUGAUAUGGUAUGUUAAAAUUAUGACAUCCUAUAGAUAAAAUAUCUUUUAAAGAUAGUUUUGAUAAUAUUAUAACAUCCUAGAUCAAAUUAUGAUAUUUUAUAUUAAUAUUAUGACAUCCAAAAGAUAAAACACCAUAAAAUUGAUACUUUUUAAAAAUUUUAUGAUAUCUUAAAUCAAAAUUAUGAUAUUCUAUGUUAAAAUUAUGAUAUUCUAUAAAUAAAAUAUCUCUCAAAGAUAGUUUUGAUAAUAUUAGCUAUUUUAGAUCAAAAUUAUAAUAUUUUAUAUUAGGAUAAAUUAUAAAAAUCCUCUUAAGAUUUGUGUUUAUGACAGUUACACCCAUUAUUUUUCAAAAUCUACACUUACAACCCUAAAAUUUAACAUCGUUAAUCAAACUGUUUCAAAAGUCUGAAAUGAUCAAAUUGCCCUCCACUAUAACUCAGCAAAUGAAAUUUAUCAAAAUCUUUUGCACCAUCUUCUUCACCCUUUCUCCACUGAUCGUCCUCUUUUUUUUGAAGAAUAGGAUUUCUUCUUAAUAAAUCCAUCCAUCCCAUGUGAUUAAGCUCAUAGAAUCAUCUUUCUUAAAUGGGUUUGGAUGGUGAAGAUGUUGUCGUUCUUUCCAAAAUCGGACACUCAAGCUACUUGGACAUAAGCCAGGGACCUCCUGACGAUGACCUCCAUCAUCUCGAUGUCUAGCAUGAUGUACUCGACGAGCUGGUGGCUGGAGAGCAGGGCCUUGAAGGAGGCCCGCUAGUACUGCCUGGCAUCGAGAGAGGUGAAUUAAAAGGUGAAGGGAUCGAGGAGGGAAAUAGAGUUGGAGAUCUUGGUGCGGACGACGAGGUGAUCGAGGAUGGGGGCAACAUCAGGAGGGUGAUAGAUGAGGUCCUCAUGGUAGAUGGGGUAGAUCUCGAUGGAUGAGGUGUGCUUGUAGUUGUAGAUAUUGGUCUUAGGGUCCUAGGAGACGAGCUGCUUGUCAUAGUGGGAGCGGAUGGAGACGACAUUGAAGAUGAAAUUGACAUACUUGACGGUGUGGGAGCGGCUGCCAAAGAAGAAAUCGAGAUCGCAGUCAUUCUCGACAAUAAUAAGGGCACGGACAGUGGCACCAUGGUGGAGGAUGAGCUGCUGGAGGAAAAAAAAAGUGCGACGGUGGACGACAUGCUGGCGGAGUUGGACGAUGGCAGGCCACUGGUUGGGGUCAAGGUGGAUGCGGGAGCAGGGGGUAGAGCUAGUGGUGGACGAUGUGAUCGAUGAGGUGGGACUGCUCGAGGAUGGCACCAUGGAGGACCUCAUGGCAGACAUGGAGCUUGAGGUGGAGGUGCUUGGAGUAGGGGUCGGUUCAGACGAACUCGACGUGGAUGAGACGAUCAAGACAAGUGAGAAGCUUGCUGAGGUGGCAGAGGCAGAAGGUGAGGAGCUCCUUGGACUCAGGAUCGAUGGGGACCCAGGUGCGGGGGGGGAGGGUGGAGGUAUUUGGGAACAAUGCAUCCACUCAUCUUUCUCACCCAAUACCACUGGAGCACGACAAUAAUGGAGCACCCAACGACACCGGAGCAGGGGAACGAUGGAGAUAGGGAAGACUAGAGGGGAGAAAGAAAGAAGGAUUUUUAUACCACUAAAUAGUCUAAACCUUUGAUGAAGGACAUUUCUAUCAUUUUUAAAAAUUUUAAUUAUAUGAUAUUUUGUUCUCAUUUUUGAUUAACGGGCUGCCUAACGGCCAGAACUAAACUGUAAGGUUAAAAUAAACGUCAAGGAUGUAAGUAUAAAUUUUUCAAACUACUGAAUUUAACUAUAAUUUUGAUCUAAUCUCAGGAGAUUUUUUUAAUUUACCCUUUAUUUUAAUAGAAUAAUAUUCAAAAAAAAUAUCUUAAAAUUGAUAUUUUUUGAUAAUUUUAUGAUAUAUUAGAUCAAAAUUAUGAUAUUGUAUAUUAAAAUUAUGAUAUUCUAUAGAUAAAAUAUCUUUCAAAAUAGUUUUGACAAUAUUAUGAUAUUUUAAAUUAAAAUUAUAAUAUUUUAUAUUAAUAUUAUGAUAUCUAAAAGAUAAAAUAUCUCAAAUUAAUAUUUUUUGAUAAUUUUAUGAUAUCUUAGACCAAAAUUAUAAUAUUUUAUGUUAAAAUUAUGACAUCCUAUAAAUAAAAUAUCUUUCAAAGAUAGUUUUAAUAAUAUUAUGAUAUUUUAAAUUAAAAUUAUAAUAUUUUAUACUAAUAUUAUGAUAUUCAGAAGAUAAAAUACCUUAAAAUCGAUACUUUUUGAUAAUUUGAUGACAUUCUAGAUCAAAAUUAUGACAUUCUAUGUUAAAAUUAUGAUAGUCUAUAUUAAAAUUAUGAUAUUUUAUAGAUAAAAUAUCUUUUAAAAAUAGUUUUGAUAAUAUUAUAAAAUUUUAGAUCAAAAUUAUAAUAUUUUAUGUUAAUAUUAUGACAUACAGAAGGCAAAAUACUUCAAAAUUGAUAUUUUUUGAUAAUUUUAUGAUAUUCUAUAUCAGAAUUAUGAUAUUUUAUGUUAAAAUUAUAAUAUUCUAUAAAUAAAAUAUCUUUCAAAGAUAGUUUUGAUAAUAUUAUGAUAUUUUUUAUCAAAAUUAUACUAUUUUAUAUUAAUAUUAUAAUAUUCUGUAGAUAAAAUAUCUCAUAAUUGAUAUUUUUUAUCAAUUUUAUGAUAUUCUGAAUGAAAAUUAUGAUAUUUUAUAUUAAAAUUAUGAUAUCUUGCUGAUAAAAAUAUCUCUCAAAGAUAGUUUUAAUAAUAUUAUGAUAUUUUGAAUCAAAAUUAUGAUAUUUUAAGUUAAUAUUAUGAUAUCCAGAAGAUAAAAUAUUUCAAAAUUGAUACUUUUUGAUAAUUUUAUGACAUCCUAUAUUAAGAUUAUGAUAUUUUAUAUUAAAAUUAUGAUAUCUUAUAAAUAAAAUAUCUUUUAAAGAUAGUUUUGAUAAUAUUAUGAUAUUUUAAAUCAAAAUUAUAAUAUUUUAUACUAAUAUUAUGAUAUCUAGAAGAUAAAAUAUCAUAAUAUUGAUAACUUUAUAAUAUUGUAAAUCAAAAUUAUGAUAUUUUAUGUUAAAAUUAUGAUAUUCUAUAGAUAAAAUAUCUUCUAAAGAUAGUUUUAAUAAUAUUAUGAUAUCUUAGAUUAAAAUUAUAAUAUAUUAUAUUAAUAUUAUAAUAUUUAGAAGAUAAAAUAUUUUAAAAUUAAUAUUUUUUGAUAAUUUUAUGACAUCUUAGAUCAAAAUUAUGAUAUUCUAUAUUAAAACUAUGACAUCUUAUAGAUAAAAUAUUUUUUAAAAAUUAUUUUGAUAAUAUUAUGAUAUCAUAAAUUAAAAUUAUGAUAUUUUAAAUUGAUAUUAUGAUAUCUAAAAGGUAAAACACUUCAAAUUUGAUAUUUUUUAAUAAUUUUAUAAUAUCUUAAAUCAAAAUUAUGAUAUUUUAUACUAAAAUUAUAUUUUUUUUGGAUAAAAUACCUUUUAAAGAUAGUUUUGACAAUAUUAUGAUAUUCCAGAUUAAAAUUAUGAUAUCUUAUGAGUAAAAUACUUUAAAAUUGAUAUUUUUGAUAGUUUUAUGAUAUUUUAGAUCAAAAUUAUGAUAUUCUAUGUUAAAAUUAUAAUAUUUUAUAUGUAAAAUAUCUUUUAAAAAUAAUUUUGAUAAUAUUAUUAUAUUUUAGAUCAUAAUUAUGAUAUGAUAAAUUAAUAUUAUAUCAAUUUAUAAAUAAAAUAUCUCUCGAGUAUAUUUUUUUGAUAUUUUUAUGAUAUUUUGGAUCAAAAUUAUGAUAUUUUAUGUUAAAAUUAUGACAUUCUGUAGGUAAAACACCUUUCAAAGAUAGUUUUAAUAAUAUUAUAAUAUCUUAAAUUAAAAUUAUGAUAUUUUAUAUUAAUAUUAUGAUAUUUUAUCGAUAAGAUAUCUUUUAAGUAUAUUUUUUAAUAAUUUUAUGAUAUUCUGACUCAAAAUUAUAAUAUUUUAGGUUAAAAUUAUGAUAAUCUAUAGGCAAAAAAUAUCUCUGAAUGCAUGUUAUAAUAUUUUGGAUCAAAAUUAUGAUAUUGUAUUUGAAAUUAUAAUAUUCUAGUAUGAAAUUAUGAUAUCUUAUAAUAAAAAUAACUUUUGAAGUAAGAAUAUGUCAUAAUUAUAAUAUUUUAGAUUGAAAUUAUGAUAUUUCAGAUUAAAAUUAUGACAUUCUGUAGUAUAUCUUUAAAGAACCUUAUAUUUAUAUCUUUCAUAUAUAUUUUUUUAUUUCAAAGAAUCUUUUGUAUACUUUCUAUAGAGAUUUCUAUAAAUAAUUAGCUGAAUAAGAUUUCAUGUGAUGAUUGUUUUGAGAAUCUAUCUUCUUCUAGUAUACUGAAUGUAGAUAAUGAAUUGAUGGAGUGCAAGAAAGAAAGAAAAUCAAAAUAUCACUCUUCAUCAUCACUGUAGGACCACCGACGAACUAAAUGAUCUUUUUUCUAGCUUGUAGGAGCAAUGAUUUAUAGCAAGAAAAGGAGUACAAGAAGAACGAGGGAGGAGAGGGAGAAAGAUGAAAACAACAUAUUAUAAAUUUUUUAUUAGAUGUCAUAAUUUAUAAAUCAAAUAUUUUAAUUUCAUCAAAAUAUGAAAUAUACUAUAACAGAUGGUUUUAAAAAUCUGUUAGUUUAAUAAAUAUGAUUAUAAAUUUGAAAUAUAUUGCAUGGAUUGAUCGUAAUUAAUUAUGUAAUACUUUCAAUUUAAAAAAAAAAAUUAUAUAUAAUUUCAUAAUUUUGAUACAGAAUAUCAUAUUUCUGCAAGUAUUGUGCUCAAAGAUAUUUUCUGUACCAGGAUAUCAUAAUUUUAACUUAUAAUGUCAUAAUUUUGAUAUAGGAUGUCAUAAUUCUAUAUUCGAAGAUAUUUUUUGUAUCAGACUGCCAUAAUUUUAAAAUAUAAUAUCAUAAUUAUGACUCAAAAUAUCAUAAUUCUGUGUUUAGAGAUAUUUAUGAUGCUAAAUAUCAUAAUUUUAAUCUAUAAUAUCAUAAGUUUGAUCUAAAAUAUCAUAAUUCUAUAUUCGAUGAUAUUUUUUAUAUCAGAAUAUCAUAAUUUUAAUCUAUAAUAUCAUAAUUUUAAUCUAGAAUCUCAUAAUUUUGUAUUCAAAGAUAUUAAUUAUGCCGGAUAUCAUAAUUUUAAUCUAUAAUAUUAUAAUUUUGAUUCAAAAUAUCAUAAUUAUGUAUUUGAUGAUAUUUUUUGUAUCAGAAUAUCAUAAUUUUAACCUAUAAUGUCAUAAUUUUGAUCCAGAAUCUUAUAAUUCUACGUGAGUACAAUAUUUUCUAUACUAGAAUGUCAUAAUUUUAAUCUACAAUAUCAUAAUUUUGAUUUAAAAUUCAUAAUUCUAUAUUUGAAGAUUUUUUUAUGCUAAGAUGUCAUAAUUUUAAUUUAUAAUAUCAUAAUUUUAAUUUAGGAUUCAUAAUUAUGUAUUCGAAGAUUUUUUUGUGAUAGGAUGUCAUAAUUUUAAUCUAUGAUAUCAUAAUUUUGAUUUAGGAUUCAUAAUUCUGCGUUCAGAGAUAUUUUCUGUACUAGAAUAUCAUAAUUAAUUUUAACCUACAAUGUCAUAAUUUUGAUCUAAGAUGUCAUAAUUCUAUAUUCAGAUAUAUUUUUUACGUUAGGAUGUUAUAAUUUUAAUCUAUAACAUCAUAAUUUUGAUCAAAAUUAUGAUAUCCUGAUACAAGAAACAUAUCUGAGCACAGAAUUAUGAUAUCGAAGAUCAAAAUAAUGAUAUUGUAGGUUAAAAUUAAGACAUUCUGACACAAAAAAUAUCUCUAAAUACAGAAUUAUAAAUUCUGAAUCAAAAUUAUGAUAUUAUAUAUUAAAAUUAUGAUAUUCUAGCAUAAAAAAAUUUUUGAACAUAAAAUUAUGAAUUUUGAAUCAAAAUUAUGACGUUGUGGGUUAAAAUUAUAAUAUUUUGACAUAAAAAUUAUUGCUGAAUACAGAAUUAUGAUAUUCUGAAUCAAAACUAUGAUAUUGUAGGUUAAAAUUAUGAUAUUCUGCUAUAGAAAAUAUUACUGAAUAUAGAAUUAUGAUAGUUUAGAUCAAAAUUAUGAUAUUAUAGAUUAAAAUUAUGACAUCUGACAUAAUAAACAUAUCCGAACACAGAAUUAUGAUAUUCUGAGAUAAAAUUAUGAUAUUAUAUUUUAAAAUUAUAAUAUUCUGAUACAGAAAAUAUCUCUGAAUACAGAAUUAUGAUAUUCUAAAUCAAAAUUAUGAUAUUAUAGUUUAAAAUUAUAAUAUUCUGGUAUAAAAAAUAUUCUAGAGUAUAGUAUUUACAAAAAUAUGAUAUCCUGUAUCAAAAUUAUAAAAUCAUACGUAAAAUUUUUUUUCAAAGUAGAAAGUAUUACAUAAUUAUGCUCAAUCCAUGCAAUAUAUUUUAAAUUUAUGAUCAUAUUUUAUUAAACUAACAGAUUUUUCAAACUAUCUGUUACAGUAUAUUUAAUAUUUUGAUUAAACUAAAAUAUUUGAUUUAUAAAUUAUGACAUCCAACAAGAAUUUAUAACAUAUUAUUUUUAUUCUUAGCCUUCUUCUUCCGUAUUCCUCCAGCACUCCUUUUCUUGCCAUAAACCAUUGCUCCUACAAGCUAGAAACAAGAUCUUUUGGUCCAUCGAUGGUCCUACAGUAGUGACGAAAAAUGACAUCCUGAUCUUCUUUCUUCUUCACACUUUACCAACUUAUUAUCUAUAUUUGAUGCACUAGAAGAAAAUAGAUUCUCAAAACAAUCAUCACAUGAAGUCUCAUCAAGCUGAUCAUUUACAGAAAUCUCUAUAAAAAGUAUAUUGAAGAUUUUUUAAAAUAAAAAAAUAUAUAUGAAAAAUAUAAAUAUAAGAUUCUUUAAAGAUAUACUAUAGAAUAUUAUAAUUUUAAUUUAGAAUAUCAUAAUUUUAAUCUAAAAUAUUAUAAUUAUGAUAUAUUCUUACUUCGAGAUCUACUUUUACUGUAGGAUAUCAUAAUUUCAUAUUAGAAUAUUAUAAUUUCAAUCUAGAAUAUUAUAAUUUUGAUCCAAAAUACCAUAACCUACAUUCAGAGAAGUUUUCUAUCUAUAGAAUGUUAUAAUUUUAAUUUAAAAUAUCAUAAUUUUGAGUCAAAAUAUCAUAAAAUUAUCAAAGAGUAUACUUGGAAGGUGUCCUAUUUAUAAGAUGUCAUAAUAUUAACAUAAAGUAUCAUAAUUUUGAUUUAAUGUAUUAUAAUAUUAUUAAAAUUAUCUUCGAAAAAUAUUUUACCUAAAGGAUAUCAUAAUUUUAACAUAAAAUGAGUAUACUUGAGAGGUGUCUUAUUUAUAAGAUGUCAUAAUAUUAACGUAAAGUAUCAUAAUUUUGAUUUAAAAUAUUAUCAUAUUAUUAAAACUAUCUUCGAAAGAUAUUUUAUCUAAAGGAUGUCAUAAUUUUAAUAUAGAAUAUCAUAAUUUUGAUCUAAGAUAUCAUAAAAUUAUCAAAAAAUAUCAAUUUUAAGAUAUUUUAUAUUUUAGAUAUCAUAAUAUUAGCUUAGAAUAUUAUAAUUUUGAUCUACAAUAUAAUAAUAUUAUCAAAACUAUUUUUAAAAGAUAUUUUAUAUAUAGAAUAUCAUAAUUUUAAUAUAGAAUAUCAUAAUUUUGAUUUAAAAUAUCAAAAAAUUAUCAAAAAAUAUUGAUUUUAAGGUAUUUCACCUUUUGAAUAUCAUAAUAUUAAUAUAAUAUAUUAUAAUUUUGAUUUAAGAUAUUAUAAUAUUAUCAAAACUAUCUUUAUGAGAUAUUUUAUUUAUAAAAUAUUAUAAUUUUAACAUAGAAUGCCAUAAUUUUGAUUUAGGAUGUCAUAAAAUUAUUAAAUAUAUUAAUAUUAAAAUAUUUUAUCUUUUAAAUAUCAUAAUAUUAGUAUAAAAUAUUAUAAUUUUGAUUUAGAAUAUCAUAGUAUUAUCAAAAUUAUCUUUGAAAGAUAUUUUAUCUAUAGGAUGUCAUAAUUUUAACAUAUAAUAUCAUACUUUUGAUAUAAGAUGUCAUAAACUUAUCAAAAAAUAUCAAUUUUAAAAUAUUUUAUUUUUUAAAUAUCAUAAUAUUAAUCUAAAAUAUUAUAAUUUUGAUGUAAAAUAUCAUAAUAUUAUUAAAACUAUCUUUAAAAGAUAUUUUACUUAUAGAAUAUUAUAAUUUUAACAUAAAAUAUCAUAAAAUUGAUAAAAAAUAUCAAUUUUAAGAUAUUUUAUCUAUAGAAUAUCAUAAUAUUAAUAUAAAAUAAUAUAAUUUUAAUAUAAAAUAUUAUAAUAUUAUCAAAAUUAUUUUUGAAAGAUAUUUAAUCCAUAGGAUGUUAUAAUUUUAAUAUAGAAUGUGAUAAUUUUAAUCUAAGAUAUCAUAAAAUUAUUUAAAAAUAUUAAUUUUGAGAUAUUUUAUCUUCUAAAUAUCAUAAUAUUAAUAUAAAAUAUUAUAAUUUUGAUCUAAAAUAUCAUAAUAUUAUCAAAACUAUCUUUGAAAGAUAUUUUAUUUAUAAGAUAUCAUAAUUUUAACGUAGAAUAUCAUAAUUUUGAUCUAAGAUAUUAUAAAAUUAUCAAAAAAUAUCAAUUUUGAGGUAUUUUAUUUUUUAGAUAUCAUAAUAUUAAUAUAAAAUAUUAUAAUUUUGAUCUAAAAUAUUAUAAUAUUAUCAAAAUUAUCUUUGAGAUAUAUUUUAUCUAUAGAAUAUCAUAAUUUUAAUAUAAAAUAUCAUAAUUUUGAUCUAAGAUAUAAUAAAAUUAUCAAAAAAUAUCAAUUUUGAAGUAUUUUAUCUUCUAGAUGUUAUAAGAUUAAUCUAAAAUAUUAUAAUUUUGGUCUAAGAUGUCAUGAUAUUAUCAAAAUUAUUUUUGAAAGAUAUUUUAUCUAUAGGAUGUCAUAAUUUUAAUAUAGAAUAUCAUAAUUUUGGUCUAAAAUAUUAUAAAAUUAUCAAAAAAUAUCAAUUUUGAGGUAUUUUAUCUUUUGGAUGUCAUAAUAUUAAUAUAAAAUAUUAUAAUUUAGAUCUAGAAUGUCAUAAUAUUGUCAAAACUUUUUUUAAGAGAUAUUUUAUUUAUAAGAUAUUAUUAUUUUAAUAUAGAAUAUCAUAAUUUUAAUUUAAGAUAUUAUAAAAUUAUCAAAAAAUAUCAAUUUUGAGAUAAAAAAAUAUCAAUUUUGAGAUAUUUUAUCUUUUCAAUAUCAUAAUAUUAAUAUAAAAUAUUAUAAUUUUGAUCUAAGAUAUCAUUAUAUUAUCAAAAUUAUUUUUUAGAGAUAUUUUAUUUAUAAGAUAUUAUAAUUUUAAUAUAAAAUAUUAUGAUUUUGAUCUGAAAUGCUAUAAAAUUAUCAAAAAAUAUCAAUUUUGAAGUAUUUUACCUUUUGGAUGUCAUAAUAUUAACAUAAAAUAUUAUAAUUUUAAUCUAAAAUAUCAUAAUAUUAUCAAAAUUAUCUUUAAAAAGUAUUUUUUAAUAAGAUAUCAUAAUUUUGAUCUAAGAUGUCAUAAAAUUAUGAAAAAUAUCAAUUUUGAGGUAUUGUACCUUCUAUAUGUCAUAAUAUUAAAAUAAAAUAUUAUAAUUUUGAUCUAAAAUAUAAUAAUAUUAUCAAAAUUAUUUUUGAAAGAUAUUUUAUCUAUAAGAUGUCAUAAUUUUAACAUAGAAUGUCAUAAUUUUAAUUUAGGAUGUCAUAAAAUUAUCAAAAAAUAUCAAUUUUAAGAUAUUUUACCUUUCGUAUGUUAUAAUAUUAAUAUAAAAUAUUAUAAUUUUGAUUUAUGAUGUGAUAAUAUUAUCAAAACUAUCUUUGAAAAAAUUUUUAUCUAUAGAAUAUUAUAAUUUUAAUAUUGAAUAUCAUAAUUUUGAUAUAGGGUGUCAUAAAAUUGUUAAAAAGUAUCAAUUUUGAUCUAAGAUGUCAUAAUAGUUAUCUAAAUUAUCAUAAUUUUCAUAUAAAAUAUCAUAAUAUUAUCAAAAAUAUCUUUAGAAAGUAUUUUAUUUAUAAAAUAUUAUAUAAUAUUAAUAUAGAAUAUCAUAAUUUUGACUCAAGAUAUCAUAAAAAUAUCAAAAAGUAUACUUGAGAGGUAUUUUACCUAUAGGAUGUCAUAAUAUUAACCUAUAAUGUCAUAAUUUUGAUCUAAGAUAUCAUAAUUUUAUCAAAACUAUCUUAAAGUUGUGUUUUAUAUAUAGGAUAUCAUAAUUGUAACUUAUAAUAUCAUAAUAUGAAUUUAUAAUAUCAUAAUUUUGACUUUGGAUGUCAUAAUUUUAUCAAAAACCAUCAUUAAUAGAAAUUAUGACAUCUUGACUAAUUAUAUAACUUUUUGAAAAAAUUUAUAUGACAUACUAUAAUAAGUACUAAAAAAAGAACUCCAUUUGAACCAACCUUAUGGAUAAGAUAUAUUGCUUGGAUGGAUAAUAUUAUUUAGAUGUUAGUCAAUAGUUUUGGAUGAAUAAUUCUCGUUACAGAAUAAACUUCAGACAUACAGAUGCUCAGAAAGAAACUCAACAAAAUGAGGAAAAAGAGAGAGAGAAGAACAGCAUUCAUAAUGUCUAAUGAAGCUUCAAAAUAGUAAAAAUAUUUUGUUUUAGGGAGAAAGAAUAUUUUAAUUAUGUGUAAUUUGAAAAGCAGCUUGUGACGUGCAUUAAAUAUAUUCGACGAUGGAACAAGAUACUGCCCUCAUUUUCUUCAUAUUUUUAGAUACUCAAUUUGAUGCGAAAUGUCACACAUUACAUCAUAUCAUAAAGAUACUAUGUGGACCAAUUGGAUGAGGCAAUGCGCUCCAUGUCAUAUUUUUUACAUCGUGGGUGGUGUACAAAGAAUUUUGCUAGGGUAUACAAACAUUUGGGGUGGGCCAUUUUUGGUGAGGGGGCGUGGAACCGGGCCUCUUUGGUUGUAACCAUUUUUUUGCCAUCCCACACUUAAUCUAGAUUACUCGUGAUAAUGCUAGCUAAAAAAGAUUGAAAUACAAAAUUAAUAGAUAAGAAAUGGGGAUUUUUACACUCCAUAGUCCAACUAAAGAAAUAUAGAUCCGAUGACGUGGCGGCUCACCAUAGCACAGACCACGCCGUCGGCGCAGAAAGAAAAAACGUGCCCGAAAGCAAAUUUCCUGUCAGAAAGCUACGACGUGUCAAAAAAAUCCGGUACCCGCGAGCACACGAACGCCUCCACCAUCCCACUUUUCCGAAUCGUCCGCGCUCUAUCGCUCGACAUCCUCUCGAAGGGGAAACCAAGAAGAGGAAGAAGAAGAAGAAGAAGAAGAAGAAGAUAUGAACGAAGACCGGAUCGAUUCCUCCACCUCCACCUCUGACACCACCGCCGCCGCCGAGAAGGACCCCUCCGCGGCCCCCUCCCCGCUCCUCCGCCCCCGCCGCGAGCUCUUCGAGCACGGCCUCCUCCCCAUCUCCAAGCUCAUCUUCUCCGACGGAACCCUAACCCUAGCCUCCCUCAAGAACAAGCUUCUCCAGCGGUCCAUCCCCUCCUCCGACCGCGUCGACGCCCUGACCAUCGCCGACGCCCUGCAGAUCUCCCCCGACAUCGCCCUCCUUGUCCUCGGCACCCUCGCCGCUGUCCUCCCCUCCGAUCCCGGUUCCGCCGGCACCGCCGACGUCCACGACCUCGUUCUUUUCCUCUACAUCCAGUCGUAUAAGCGCCUCCUUCCUCGGGCGCACAAGGACUCGGCUGCCGUCGCCGAUGUCUGGCCCUCCACCUCGGCUUUCGAUGGAUACCUAUCCGCCCUCUCGCCGCUUCAGGUAGGGGAUUUCUUUCCGUUCAUAUCUUUCUUUUUUGAAUCCCUAACAUUCGAUCCAAACAAGCUGCCGUAGAUGUCAUGUUGCUGCUUAUGAUUUCGUGUAUUUGAAAAAUAAAAUAAUGGAAUUGACGAUUUCUAGUACAGACCAGGGGAGAAAGUUAAUCCAAUAAGUUCUACACCACAAGUGUUCGAUGGUACGUUAGGAGUUGUGCGGUAUACAGCUGCAGUUGCGGUUUGAUGGGAAUUAAUAUACGUACCAAUAUAAAACUGUUGCUCACGGAAAUUGAUCUACAUGCAAACUAAAACAGUCAUUGUUACAGGAAAAUAAAACAUUUGGAAGAAGGAUUUUAGUUAGGUCAGACAAGUUCAGAUUAAAUUGUCUUUGUUUUCUAGAGGACAUUCAGCAAGAUGAGGAAAUCAGUGAGAACCGACGAUGAAUAAAAAUGGUUAUUUAUUUAUUUAUUUUUUACUAUAAAGCUAAUGCCAUCAGCUUCCUCCCCUUCUUUUUUUCUGGGAUGCGAAUGACGCCCAUGGUGCUAUGUCCAGUCAUUUAUAGUAUACUUGAGUCCAUAAGAUUUCAUCUAGUACACUAGAUAACUGUUGAAAGUGUGAGAUUGUAUAUCAAAAAUUCGUGGCAAGCCAAUCAACAGGCUUGCUACGUAUCUGGCCAAAAAGGGCUCUGUUUUAGGUCUUGUUAAGUAAGCCUUGAAAGAAACUGGGUGUUCUCAACAACAUUCUGUAUCUGGUAAAGCAGAAUAGUACUAUGUAGGUGACCAGGAAUUAUGACGAUGUGGUUUCUAAUGAAAUAUUUGGAUAGCUGAUCAAUUGAUCUCAGGGUGUGCAUAAUGUACCAGGCCCAUCUCCCCAUCUCCCAAACAUUCAUUUAUGAUUCAACAUCCAUUUAUGGCAGAAAUGUGAUGUAAAGCCGCUUCUGAACAGUAUCUCUUAACAUAAAAUUCUCAUUGACUAGUUCUUGUUGGUGAUGAGUUUUGAUGAAAUAUUCCGAUGAUAUAAAUCUUGGGACAUGUUUCUUGUUUACUGCUGUCAACAUUGUUUCCAACCACAUUCAUGUUAAGAGUGCGAGGUCCUUUAUAUCGAGCUCUUAAAUAAAUGAUCCUGCAUCAUUUACUUGAUUGAAUAGGGAACUUGUUUAUUAUCAACUAUUUUCAUUUUCUGGACUUCACCCCUUUCUUUGGUUUGUUCCUUUUCUUUCGCUUUCAAAGGUGGUAAUUGAAUGUCGAAGCAAAUUUGCAACUGAAGAGAUUUGCUGCUUUGAAUCACCAUAGACUUUUUAUAAUAAAACUUGCUGGUACAAUCAUAUUAAAUCAACACAAUAAUGGCAAAGAAAUGAAAUUAAUGGAAGAAUAAGUCUAGACCAUAAGUGUCUCACAUGAAAUCCUUUUUGGUUUUGUUGUAGUUUUUUAUGAUCAUAUGAUUAAAAAUCGAUCUGUAGGAAGUAUCAUUUGCUGAUCUUCUGAGAUAAUCAUGAUGAAAAUCUGUUUUGCAACUGGACCCGAUAAGUCAAAUGACCUUCCCCCUUUUAGCGAUCAUAUACUACCUGGGAUCUUGUAGUUUAUUGCUGCAAAUAUCUGAACUUCUGCAUUUGAUUGCUUUUACCCCCCAAAAGCCUGGAGUUCCCUUGAGCUUUUUCUUUCUUAAGAUCAACAUAAUGAAUGGAGCAUUUCAGAUGAUGAGUUUAGAAAUUAAUUCUCAUAUUGUCAAACUUAUGGAGAACGUUGAAAGUUGUAAGAAGGAAACCUUGCAUUUAAAUUGUUAAAUUGAAUCAUCAUGUUGCCUCAGCUUUGGAUAUUAUCAAUUGCUUGUAUUCAAUUAUCACAGCUCUUAUAACAGAUUCCUGUAAGAUUUAUAAUUUUGCUAAGAAUUUACUGCCUUUGUUGUAAUUCUGUACUUUGUCCAUUGCAGCUUGUACGCAGUAAUAGUCGUCGUUCUAUGCCUUCACAAGCGGAUGAAGAAGCUCAUCAAUUAUCAUAUUUACAGAAGCAUAUGGCCAACAUACUUACUCUAUUGGCAGAGUCCAUUGAAGGCGAGGGUGAUGAGUCUCUGGUUGUUACACUAGGAUAUACUGCUAGUUUUUUUCAUUCUUCACUAGUUGUUUAAACUUCUCUCUCUACUGAAAUAUUAUGUUUUAAGAAUAAAAGCAUAUAAAACAUGUUUUGAAUUAUUUUCUUUCUGUUUUCUCAUGAUGGAAUAUGUUAGAAGCAUACAUAUUAUUUAAUUUAGUAAGUCAUGCAGGCCAACAUUUGACCUCAUGCACUGAGAAAUUCUAAUCUGAUAAUUUCCCAAUCCAGGUCAAAAAUAGGGUGUGAAGUCGGAAUUACCUUCAGACCUUGCAGAAAUACCUGCAACAGAUUGAAGCCUCUAUCAACUAGAGGUGAAUCUUUUGUCCCAAUACUAGGCAUACUUUCUGUUUGUACCAUACCAGCCAGAAGCCGGUAUCUUGUGCCCCCCCCUUGAGAUUGAUUCCUAGAUGAACGUGUCAGAACCUGCCUGAUUUAUCCUGAGCCAGCCAUGAAUCGACCUCAUACUGCUUGUUACUGAGCCUAAAGUUGUCUUGGAAUUUUUUCUUUUUUUGCAUAAUACCAAAUUGGGCACAGUGUCUGUAUGGUAUGUACUGCAGUAAUACCGUAUCAUCCAAUGACUGGUAUGGUCCCAUACAGCAAUUUCUAAAACCUUGAAGGAUACAAGAAAUGAUGGGGAAUAUUAGAGAGGCAACAGGCCUGUAAUUUACAGUUUCAGUCCAAAAUUACAGCCAAAGAUACCCCCUCCCCGCCUUUUCUUUAAAAAAAAAAUUUGAUAUGUCAAACUGGUGCAAUUUUUAUGUUUACACUGUUGAUUGAGAUUAUGUUUAUGUUCAUGUUGCACCAUGCAUCGAUGAUGCACGAAGCAGGUUGUGGGCAGGUCGAUGAUGCAUCCCAAGCAUCGCAGAUAGGGGACACAUGAGAAGUGGAGAGAUGUUUAUGUUUAAUCUUGCUUUGCUUUUGUUUUGAAAUUUAUGCAGAGUCAUUUCUACUUUAUUGCACACUGCUAGUUUACUUUUUUGCACCAAAUUUUUAUAUCAGUAUAUGAUGCAUGGUUUAGAAUGUAAUAAUGGUCUAAAAGUUAGUUCCUUUUUUCUUUAUUGUCCAUGAUUAACUUAUUUAUUUAAAAUAAAUGAAUAUGUAUCUAUUUACUUAUCAAGCCAAUGUUCUUAUUGCCUAUUAUGGAUCUUCAGAAACAUUAUAUCAGAGCCUGAUGCUUGUCUUAGGUCAACCAUUUGGGUCAUGUUUACCAAUAGAAGUGUAAUUUUGGCUUGUUUGUAGGUGAUACCAUUGGAAAGGUUUGAGCACUUGGGGUUCCUCAUUCAGUUCUCUGAAGGAAUUCCAUUGAGAGAAGCUGCUCCUUUUUUUGCAAAUUCAGAUCCAGAGAUGCCCGCUGUACCUGUCCCUGCUGCUCAUGUUCAUGACUGGGUUUUGCAACACAUAGCUGUUUCGUUAGAGCAUAACGCUGAGAGGGUAUCAGCAAAAGAAAAUGGUCCACAAAAUUUCUCAGAUCUGGAUGUGCCUAUGUUUGAUGCCUCUGUAAGUCAUAUAAGGGUACAAAGCAGCAGCUCACCUACUGUGACCUCUAUGCAAAGCAGUCCUGCAUAUUCUAGAAGUCAAACUUUUGUAGAGGGUAUCUCAAAAGCUUCUGUGGUUAAACAGGAAUGUGAUAUUAAAGGACAUUCUGUAAAGGUAGUGCUACAUCACCAAAUCUUUCAUCAACAUAUUUGCAAAUUGAUCUUUGGUUUUUUCUAUAGUGUGUACUUGCUCAUUGUUUAGUUUGAGGAUCAUAAGUUAGAUUUUGCCAUGCCUAGAAAAUUUUGAUUGUAACCCAUAAACACUGUAUAAUGUCUAUUUGAUGAGCUGUUUUUCAAUCAACUCUUAGAAAAUAAGAUUAUACAAAACCUGAUUUUAGUAAGUUUUAGUUCAUUUGUCUGAUAAGAUGUCCAACCAGGUUUUAAGACCCAGUACUGUGUUUCAUUACAUACCUAGUGAAUCAUGUCCUCAUAACUGGACUCUAAGCCUUGAAUGUCAUCCUUCUAGAAACCAAAAUUUCAUUGCCUGAUCACAACUUACUAUAUCAAGGAAAAGCUUGACUCCCACCCUGCUCCCUCCUUUUCCUUUGCCCCUUCUUCAUUUCCUUCUCUUCUUCCACUUCCACCCUCUUUGCAUUUGCAUUUUCAACGAAUGGAAUGCAAUUUCAACUCCAAAGUCCAUUGGCUGUUGAUGUUGUAAUAGUCAUCUCCAUUAGCCCGGUUUUGUAGGCGUUUGAAAAGAAUCCCAGGAAUUCAGAGCUAUGGAAGCCAACAUAUUAGAAUUUGUAGGCUGAAGCUAACUGAUGUAAUAUCAAAGCCUAUAUUCUUCUAUCAACGGUUUGGGAGGACUGACUUAACAUAAUGGCCAUUCCUGAACAAUUUUUUGGGCACACCUACUUCAUCAGGCAUACUGCAUUUCUUUUUAUAAGAACAUAGGAUUCACAAACAAUAUGUAAUAUGAGUGGAAUUUAUCUUUCCCAAAUAUAACAGAAAUAUGCAAAUAAAUAAUUAUAAUUUUCUCUUCCAAGAGAAUGAAGAGAAAGCACACUUUGAAGAACUUGUGACUUUUCAAGAGAAAAGGGAGCCACCAUCAUGUUAUCUGGAGUCUGAAGUCUAAGUCAUGAUGCUUAUGAGGGAGUUUAUCAGAUAUUACAAGAACAGAUAUCUUUAGGGAAUAAUAUUUAACAGUACAGGGCAUGAUGAAGGUGCUCAAAUAACUGUCUACAUCUUAAAAGACUCCAUUAUGUAUUGGGAAGUGGAAGCAACCUUUAGAGAGCAUACAGUGAGUGGGAGAAAGGAUGGUUGACACCUUACUAGACUGAAAGUACCAGUAUUCCAAGGGAAUAUAUAGGUAGUAAGGGUUGCAGGAUGGAAACAAAAAAGUUGUUUUUUGUUGUGGGGUUAAUCAGAAAGUGUCUGAGCUUGAAAAUGGUUGCCUUUUCUCCCCCUUCCAUACCAUUGUGCUGGAUCUCAUUUUUUUAUCUGAAUUUCUAGAAUUCUUAUGAAGCUGACAUCAGCAAGGGAAGGAAGUUUGCGUGCACUUAGUCCCAAGAAGAAUGGAGUGGGGAGUUUUUCGUACUCUUGUCCUUGAUCUUUAAAUAUGUCCUUGAAUAGCAACUCAAAUAUUUGCUGAAAUGAUUUUACAUGGUCAUUUUGCAUCAGUAAACUGUUUUUUAGAGGAGAUAUGUGCUUUGCACUGUAAAGAAUCGAAUCAAAUUCUAGGAGCAUUUUCUAACAUGACCUGUGAAAAGUGUAUGACAUGGUUGACUAGAGCAUGAUGGAGGUUUCUGGAAAGAUGAAGGUCAUGCACUUUGUGUUUCCUUGGUUUUGUUUGUGUAAUAAGAGGACCUUAAAAAGAUUUUUAGUUCUUUGACAUAUACACAAAGAUUUUAAGUGAAAUGUUGCUAAUGGCUAUGAUAGUUAACCUAGUAGAAAUCUUCAGUUUUCACUUUUUCAAUUCUUUUUGCAUCUGGUGAUCAUUAUUUCUUUAUGAACCAUCAUCAGAUGGAUUCAAUUUAAAAAUUUUGAAUUUUUGGUGGUCCAAGUUGAUGAGAUAUUGUUUUUGCAAAUAAAACUGGUUCCUUUAUUUUUUAGAAUUAUAAAUAAAUUUGAUCACAUAGGUAUCACCAGAUUCCCACCUCCAAGCUUGUUACCUUGUAAAAAGAAAAGAAGAGAGAAAUGAUGGAUCAUACUAUUGCACAGACCGUUUCUAGGAGCGAGUAGAUUGGUGCAACGUCAGACUAUAUCUAUGCAGAAACUUGUGCACCUGAUUUGGGAGCAUUGUCAUGAAAGCAAACUUAUGAUAAAGUUAAGUUGCUGAUGUAGGAUUGCCGAUUACAUCCUAACAAGUGACAUGUAUGGUUCUAACUAUAAUGCUCAUGUACCAACAUGAUCCUUCAAGCCCUCAACUUGAAUUUGGAUGGGACAAACUGAUUCUAGAACUUUAUAUUCUUAUUGCUUGAAUGAAAAGAAAGCAUGUUAAAUUAUAAACAAGAGCUAGAAGGAGUUUGAGAUAACUAAUAGCUACACCUUACUAUUGAACGUUGUUUGACAUUCAAAAUCCAUCAGAGCCUUCAAAAGGUUGUUUGCAGCUCCCCAGAAACCACCAGGUUGCUGUUGAAUGAUCUUCAGAAUCCAUCAGAGCUUGCUUGGAUCCAUGUAGAGAGGACAUUAAAGUUUUUUGCUUAAGAAUUAAACUUGUUUAUUUUCUUGAAUUAAAAAAAAAAAAACUGAGGGUGAAAGAGGAUAUUAUAGGCUCCAGUGCCUUACAUGGAUGGGAAUCUGUAGAUUUGCUGAAAAUUUGAUGUGAACUAGGACAACGUUACAAAAAAAAAAAAAAAAAAAUCUAGAAGCCAAUUUCCAAGCUAUUUUCAGUUUACACUAUUAGACAACAAGGUUGCCACCACAAGUUAAGCUGAAGUACUGAAUUCUGACCAUCUGAAUGAUUUAGACAGCUGAAGCUAUGAAGGUCUGACUCUAAGGUUGGCAGAGCUUGUUGACAUGACCUUCUAGAAGCCCUUACAUGAUUGGGCUUGUGAUGGUGUUUCAGUUGUGAUUCGAGGGUUUGUAUAGAUGCUUCUGUGCCAUCUGACACUCCGACUUAAAGUUGGUGAAGAAAUUCCUAUCAAACUCGAGUUUGACUUGAACUCAAGUCAUGCAUGACUAAUAUCAGCAUUUGAAUGGUGGUACUGCUGCCUUUUGAAGCUCUGGACAGCUGGAUUCCAGCCAUCAGUUUUACUGUGGAUCUCAGACUCAAUUUCUUGCACCUUGUCAGCAUGCCACAGAGCAUAUCUGGUGCCAGUCUGACCAGUUCUUGGGUCUUCUUUAUGGUCCCUUAGAGGUCCAAGCCACAUAUAAGAGAAGUUAGUCUGACUUGCACCAGAUUAGCUAACUUAACAUCAGAUAAGUUGUCUGAAAACUAUCUUCUCCAUUUUUUUAUUAGUUUGCUUUAUUUAUGGUUGUUUGAUAGUUCAUAACUUCAUAUAUGAAUUAUGAACUUAUGUUUUUGACAAAAUCUCCAAGGAUUCCUUCUCACCCUCUCUAUGGUUUACCUUAAGAUAUGAUCUGAUAGAUUGCCUUCAUCAUUUCUGGAUUUGCAGUUAGUAUGAAUAAUAUCCAACAAUUUUUUGAAAAUGGCAUGAAUAGGAAACAAAUUAUAAACCAUUUUCCUGCCAUAUGUAGAUGCAUUAACAUAUCUGCUGGACAAUUAUCUUUGUUUCCUCAACAAAUGCUGUAAACGUCCUAAAGCUUUUACUACGAGAUAUUCCUAUAUGCCUUACAUAUGCUGAAAAUUUUAAUUUUAAUUGAAUUAUUUGAAACCUGAUCUGGUUUUGGCCAUCACAAUGAGUUGUCAUUUACAGGUUUUAAACUGCCAUGACUCGGUGAUAUACAUACUAGCACCAUUGAUGUAUGCUACAGUUUAUGGAUGUUCUGACACAACCAUCAUUCUUGGUGCUAUUGGUAAGGUAUGUUUGGUACUUUUGGAUGAUUUGUCAUUGCUAUUAUUUCAGCAAAAUUUUGUAGUAAAUUUCUUUUUUUUUUGGGGGGGGUGAAACUCAUAAAUUUGAACAAGUUCUUUAAAUAUGUUGGAUUAUUCUGUAUGGUAUUGUCACAUGUUUUACAGUUUUGAGUUGUAAAGCUGUCAAACACAUCAAUUUGCACAAUUCUACAUUUUUUUAAAGUAAUUAUGCACACCGUCUUGUUAUCUUUCCUGGGUUCAUAUUUUGUGAAGCUGUUAAGUUCAAACUAUGAAGGAUCUUCCACCCAGUGUGCAGAAUCUUAUACAUCUCCUCCAACUUUUCAAGCUUUCUAAUGCUUGUACCACUUGCUAUGCAAAUUUAUCAAGAUCAAUCCAUCUUCCCUUGCAAAUAAUGUUUUCAGUAUUCUAUCAAACAUGGUUCCAAACUUCCAGUGUAGUUGGACUUGUGAUCAAGAGCAAGAACUUCAGAGGAAUAUUGUCUAUUCACCGCAUGAGGCUCAUAAAGCAUGUUAAGUGCUUGUUGGAGAUAUUUAAUGGUUUCUAGGUUUAUCAUUUGGGACCCUUGGGGCUAAAAAUAAAGUCUUUGGAUUUACUUUGGAGAGGAAGAGAAGAAUCUUGUGGUAUUUACCAGCCACUGAAAUUGGAGUUUGAGGUAUUGUUAAGUCUUGGGUGAUUUUGUAUUCUAUACUUGUAGAUUGUUGUUACUGUGGUGAAUAAAGAGAGAUGGCACUUAUGGAUCAUAUUUGCUUAUCCACGAUAAGAGCAAGACUACCAGGUGAAGUUUUCUGUUGGUACUUAUUGGAAGAAUCUUAAAUAUCAACCACCAGAGGGUAAUUGAUUUUGUAAGUUGCAGAAUGUAGUCUUUGGAGACGCCAUGCGCAGUACAUUAUCAUUGUUGUUUAUCAAGUUUCUCUUUUCCCAUAAUUUAGCUGUAUAAUCAUAUGAUUUUGAUAUAAAUUUGAUAUGCCCAAAACUUUAUUAUGAAUUCUACUCAAAAUGAUUUUGGUUAAAUUUGAGUUCGGAUAUAAUUGGACCCAGGGUCUUCAUUUGCUUAGGAAAAUGAUCGAGUGUUGUGAUACCACCUCGUUUGUGUAAUCUUUUAAUUGAAAUACUCAUCCCGAUAAUGUUCCUAUGAGGUUUUUUUCUUUUCUUGGGCAGGCUACUUAUAAUACUUUGUGCCAAAGAAUUGUGGUGUGAAUUUUCUCUCCCCAUCUUGCUUUACUUUCCAAGACUCAUUUGCAAAGUACAUACUCUGAACAUCUCUAACAAGUUGAAAGAGAUUAAAGCCUUAAAGCUGAAUUAAUGUGUGCCUGUCAAGCUGUCAACUUUUGCUUUGCAAGUCCUUUUAAUUUGUGUCGAAGGAAAAUAAUAUUGUUAGGAUAGAAAUGGAGAAAUUCAGAACAAUGUUUGAACUGACUAGUUUUUAUUUUACUUUCUUUUUGAUGUUUCUGGAAGACAAAAUUUGGCAACUUUCAUGAUUUUUUCAGUUUGUUACCACGUGGAUGUUUUUGUUGUGUGUUUUUUUUUCUAACAAUAGGAACUGAAGCCUAAACGAUUUUAUUAGAAUAAGAAACAGUUGGAAAAGCAAGGAACUAGUAAAAGUAGAGGAAGAAAACAAUAUUUCAAUUCAUUACUUUGUGGGAUGCCUUGUUUUUCUUUUUUCUGGAUCUGCUAAAGUAUAUUGACGGACUACCAAACUCUAAUCUGUUUCAUGAAUCCUUUAAAUGCAGCAACAUCCUUCUCAGGCACUGGCGUCAUCCAAAAUUUCAGUAACAUGCUCACCUUCUGGACCAAACCCAUCACUCCAGUGCUUUCAUUUCUAAAUAUCCUCCUAUUCCUCGCUAACCAAAUUUGCCAGUGAACAGCUGCCACCAACAUUAACCACUCAUUUCUCCAACCCCUCUUAACUGACCUCGAUCUGCAGUUGCCCCACAGAUCUGAAACUUAAGUAAUCUUCUAAUCCUGAGGAGCCUUCUAAAGUGCUUCCAGAAGCCCUUUACACAUCACAUCUCACAAACAAAUGAUCUACAAACUCAUUCUCCCUACAGUGGAUGCAAUUACAAGGCAGAUUCCAUUUCCUCUUCUUCAUAUUAUCUCCAGUUGACAGCCUAUUAUAUACUAAAUGCCAAUGAAAAGCCCUUAUCUUUUCAGGGAUAGCAUUCCUCCAGAUUGCAGAACAAUAAGGAGAAAGAACUCCUUCCUUUUGAAGAAACUCGUAGUACUCUUUAGUUGCAAAAAUCCAUGUCUUGUUCCAUUUCCACAUCACCCAAUCUCUUUCAUUUGAUAAGGUUCCCUGAUGAAGCAACUGGUCCAACUCAGUAACUUCUUCUUGGUCCUCCUCUGUUAAUGGCUAUCUGAACUUAGGCUAAACAGAAGCUGCUACUAACCUCUGUUACACAAUCAGCCACCAAACUAUUCUGAUUCGCUGCAAGCUGAAACAAUCUAGGAAACAACUGAUUCAAGACGAGCUUCCCUAUCCAACAAUCCUUCCAGAACAGUGUCUUCUCCACUUCUCACCUUUACCUAUUUUUCCUAAAGAAAUUCUCUUCUGUUCUGAGAACAUUUUUCCAGAUAGGUCUUGUAUUUUUCUAUUGUACAAAAAGGAACUACCCAACCUCCUCCUUUAUAAUAUCUAAGAUUGGCCAGAAGUUUCCAAGGUAAGCUUCCUUCUUGACGUAGGCACCACCACUACUUAGACAUCAGAGCUUCAUCGAACAAUUUUAGAUCAUUCAUCCCAGCCCUUCUUCCUCUUUCAACCGAUCAACCGUCCUCCAAUUAGCGAGAUGCUGGCCCCUUUUGGCUCCUUUCUCUUUCUGGAGGAAGCUUCUUCUCAGUGCAUCAAUUCUCGUCCUUACCUAAUUUGGUAACAGAAAUGCAGACACGAAUUACAUAGAAUAAAUAAGAGUACAUAACUGACUGCAGCCUCCCCCCCAAGGGGAGAAACCUUGUUUUCCAUCCAGCCAGCUUCUUUUCUACUUUCUCAGUUAACAUCUGUUUGGGAUGAACUUUGAUAAUAUUUUAGCAGAUUGUUAAUCCACUUUUGGAUUUUUUUUUCACAUGUUGGUUUCCUAUGUAAGAAAUAAAGAACUAAUCAUAAUAUAUUGUAGAGCAAUAUGAUAUAUUAUCUUUUUGUUGCUGCUACCAAUUAUGUGAAUAAAUCUGUGGUCAGCACUUGCAUAUUGUCAACGAAGAUUACUUUGUUUCAACAUUUGUCUCUCAUAUGUGUAUGUAUACAUGUUCUAUAUGCUCUCUGUUAAUAAUAAAUCAUUCAUUUACACUGCUACUUUGUCAUUCGGGAAUUAUACUUAUAAUUCUUGCAUUUUUUUCAGGCUGUAAGAGUGGAGCAUUGUGAAAGGGUACAAGUUAUCACAGCUGCAAAACGCAUUUGUAUUGCUAAUUGUCGUGAAUGUGUGUUGUUCCUGGGGGUAAAUCAGCGACCUCUUAUUGUUGGGGAUAAUCAUAAACUACAAGUAAGUAAUUUGUUGUUCAUGCUGGUGCAUUCUUCAUUUUUUGUCUGCCUGUUUAUUAUACAUACAUGCAUACAUACGUACAUGAGUGCUUGCUUGCAUGGAUGCAUGAAUGGUGGAGUCCAAUAAUGCAGGGUCAUGAUGGUAGAGAUUGGUGUUUUGGUGUAUGUAUUGUAGAAUUCAUUGAGGAUAGGUGGAGGAACGUGAGUGUCUAGGAAGUUUUGGAGUUGCAUCAAUUUAGUAUGAACUAUGAAGUGGAAUUGACCCAGAUGAUCAGGAAUAUAAACAGAAUCUAGUGGUUCAUCACAAGGAGAGGGACUCCGAUCCUUUUGAACACAAAAGAAGAGGGAAAAAAUAACAAUUUGGAUGAAGGAUGUGUGAAAUAAUUUGGAAAAGUUGGUUGUGACUGGACCAUAAUUGGAUUGAAUGAUUAAAAGGGACUCUUGAAGAAGAGACCUGGACAGUUAAGAGAAAGAGCUUGUUAAUAUGUUUAUAGUUGAUCAUGAAUUCUGUUAGUCAGAAAUAUAUCUUCUAGCUGUGUAGCUCCAUGUAAUAAAAUAUGUAGCAGGUGGCUCCAUGGAAUAGAAUAUGUAGCAGGUGGCUCCAUGCAAUAGAACACCUUGCCUUGAAUCCAGCAGCCAACAAGUCCCAAUAGACACUAGUCCGGUCCUGCAAGCUAUGUUUAGUACCCUCCAUUAUUAAAAGAAAGAAAUUAGAUCCUUCUACUUUGGGAAAAGACCCUUUCCCAUGUUAAGUAUUCCUCCCCUCUCUCCCUAUCUUGAGAAUUAUGUUCUUGACCUUAAACUUUUGUUUUAGUCAUGCCCAACAAUAUGGCUUAUAACCAUCAGAUUGUGGAAAAAGGCUUGAAAGGAAUAUAAAAAAUGCUGUUAAAUUUGAAACACAUUCUUCAAAACCCUUGGAAUGAAGUCUUUCUUAUACAUAUAUAUUUUUGGGCCUGAUUGAUUUCAAAUGAAGAAUAUAUAUAUAUAGAGGGACUUUGCUCCUCUUGAGAGAAGAGGAUAUCUACUCAUCUUGACUCCAAAAUCAAUGAUGGGACAUCCAAAUUGACGGUUUAUACUAUUGAUCAUAAUCUAUAUCAAGGUUUUAAAUACCAGUACAGAAGUCAUAUCAUUCUUCUGAUGGAAUGAUAUCUUAUUGGUACCUAUAGUGCUACCAGAACUGAUAGCUUCCAAAAGAAUGAAAAACCAUAUGCAUAGAUACCGACCUAUAUAGUCAGUACAUUACCAUCAGUAUGCACCACAUACGAACCAGUACGGCAGGUAUGUAUCAGUACAGCUGUUUUAGCCUUCGAGCACCCAUGCUGAUGCCAGUUUUGCUCUGGAACUGUACCUACCAGUCGUACUGUCCAGUUCGGAUGGUUUUUUAAACCAUGAUCUGUACUGCUAAAAAGAUCUAGCAAUCAGAAAUCACAUAUUUUUGCGGUCUCUGACCCUGACACAAAAAUGGACAGUUUUUAUUGAGCUAGUUUGCUAAUACAUGAUCGAGCAUUUAAAUUGAGAAUCCAUCUUAUCGAUUAUAAUCUAGACAUGUUAAAACAUGUAUAGAUUGAAAAUUAAUAGAUUUAAUUCUUAAAUCAUAGCAAACAUGGCCUUAUAUCAUUUUGGCCAUUCAUUUUUGCACACACUUGAUAUUAUAGGUCAAGAGAUUACCAAAAUAUGGGAUUGUUGGUUUCUAGGCAUUUCUAGCAAUACUGAUCACGAGUAACUUUGUGAAUCUUCAAUUUGAAUGUCUCAUUAUUGAUUUUGGAAUCGAGAGGAGUAGAUACUUUCUCCUCUCAAGAGGAGCAUAAUUCAUUUAUAAUUAUGCAAUGAUGUCACCAUCUACUGAUGACAGUUGAUUCUUUGCAGCGUAGAAUACAAUGUUGUUUUCUUAGAUGAUAUUCUCUCUUUACCUCAUUCGAGUUCAGAAUUGUUCAAGAGACUCCAUCUCUCAUAUCCUCAAUCUGUUAGGAUUCUAAAUAUGCUGAUACUUGAUCUGUGAACAUGCUAUGCCUCCCCAUUGUUAAAAGAAUUUAGACAAAGAAACUAUCCUGGUUAUGAUUGCUGCUGGGAAUCUAGCAGUGAAAAAGGGAAUCUGAACUCCAACUAUCAACCUGGAAGUAAUUUAUUUUGAAAAAUAAUCAAUAAAAGACUAUUUUGGAACCCAUGCAACCUGUGCAAUAAGAUGUAGAGAACCUGUUGUAAAAAUUUCCUUGUAACGUCAUGCGUCCUUACAGUGUUCCAAAAUAUCUGGACUAUGAUGAGCACCAAGAAGCACCAGCACAUAAGACAUAAAAAUGUUGAAGUUACCAGUCCUAAUUCAAAUUAUUCAAAAAUAGAUGUGCAUAUACAUCUUUAAUUUUUCAUGCAAGAUUGAAUUUCUGCCCCCCUUUGUCCAACAGGUGGCACCAUUCAAUACCUAUUAUUCUCAGUUGGAGGAGCACAUUGCUCAAGUUGGUGUGGAUUUAACUGUCAACAAAUGGGAUGAACCAUUGGUGCUUGGAAUGGUUGAUCCUCAUGAUUCAUUAUCCCACCCUGCAGGGGUUUCUGAUGUCCAAGCUGGGUCUGCGACAUGCCUUGAUCCUGGUCAAUUCACUAUUUUUUUGGUAUGCCUCAACUUUACUAGGCUGAUCUGUGUAGAUGGUGUGGUACAUUUUUUUCCCAUUAUGGCAUUAUUUUUUUUGGAAUUUUUGGACAUCUUUCCUUUUUAACUCCUUAUAUUAUCAGGCAUCAGUUAUUCUGCCACAACUUUUUUGAUUUGUCAACUCCCAAUAUUCCUGAUGCUGUUAAUUUAUAUUUUUGCUCAGUCAUCAUAAUAAGAUGUUUAUCUGUUGCCUGAAAUAAGAAUCCUAACUUGAUCUGCUGUCUGUAGACGCCUCUUGAAUAUUUUUUGCCAUUCCGUUCAAAUGUGAAAUCUGGUGACUUAAAUCUUUCAUCUUGGGUCCAGAUUCCGAAGUGUUUAGGAGCUGAAUCUCCACAGCCCACAAAAUACAUUCCAUUUCGAUUGCCUGAAAUUUACUCAGAGUCCCAAAGGAGAAAGGUAAUAUGUGUGCUAGCAUAUUAAUAGCACAUAGUUUGCAUGCCCCGCUCUUAUGCUUAUUUCUCUCUUUAUUUCACAAAAUUUUAACUAUAGUGUCACAUUAUAAUUAUCCAUAAUAAUUAUCUAUCUAAAUCAACACGUAUGUUGGUUUUUGUUAACAAUUCCAGUGCUGGCAUUUGACAAUUUCUUUCCUUUAUAUGCAAGCUAUUGUAUUUUCUUCUAACUUGUUUACAUGUAAUAUAAUUAAAUUUCAGCAUUCAGUUCUGAGUGAUAUCCAACAAGCUCUCAGGGAUGUGCAACUCGAUGCAAAUCGGAAAAGAGACUUAGCAAUGGCGUUGCAUGUGCAUUUUAAAGACUGGUUAUAUGGUAAUUCUUAGAUGCUUAGUUCUAUUUAACAACCCAGCACCCCUCUGUAUCAAUAUCACAUGUCCAGAACAUCAGUUAAUCAUUAUGAAAAAAAAAAAUUUUGGAAGUAGAAUAUUUAUCUUUAUAUCAUCAAUAUCCUUAUGUAUUUUAAUUUUUUUUAUCCAAAAAAUAUUUCUGUUAAGACUACGCAUGUCCCAUAAUAUCUCAUGUUCCAAUAUUGGAUGGUGGUUCACUCAUGAUCAUGAAUUUCAUAGCUAAAAGAUCUGCAGAACUGAUGAUGCCUGUAAUGCUACAGACAACCAUCUUGUGUGUGUGUGUGUGCAUAUGUUCAUGUAUAGCACCUGAAUUUUGAUAUAUUUGUGACAGUAAAAAUAUCUAUCGCAAACACCUUUGGUUUCUAAGGGAAAGACAUGGAAUAGGCUUUCCAUGUUCAUACUGGUGUGAAUGGACAUACAAUUCCUAAAAAUUUAAAUUGGCAUUUUUUUCAUUGUUUACUCUUUGGGACCACAUGCUCCGGGUUUUUCAUGCUUAUAGAAGAACUUGGGACUCAUUGAGUUCAGAAUGUGUUCUGCAACUGUUAACACAACUUUCCCUGUUAAUACAAUAGUGCAGUAUUCUGCUAUUUGUAUUUGCCAAUUAGGUUCUGCGGUAUGAUUAUCAGUUUCUCAUUCAUGAUGAUUCUAAUUGCAGUUGUUUUAUGGUCCCGAAAAUAUAUCAUAUCAUAACUUGUUUCUUGUCUGCUGGUUUCAGUUAGGUAUUCUCCUCAGCAACCUUAUUCCUUAAUUCUGCUCUGUUGUUGGGUUAACAUGGAUGUUCCGUUUAAAUUUUUUAUCAAAAUACACAAAUAGCGAAGGACCAGGGGCUUAUCCUCUGGAUUUAGAAUAACCCAAGAUUUUUUCUAUGUUCCCUGAUUUCUACAGAGUUUUGCAUUAUUUGGAUGUGAGAACACCAAGUAGUGUUGGUUAUAAUACUUGAAUUGGCAAAAUAGGUAUAAUUUUAUAGCAUAUUCUGAUGCAGGGAAAGAUCUGUGACUUAUUAUCUGGUGUUAUAAUGUGUCAUUUUCUGUUGUAAUCAAUUAAAGAGACUGAUUGCAUGCUUUGCAUCUGAGUGAUAACUAAAUUUAACAUUGAAGUGGAAGUAGUAUAACUAUUUUUUCUUGCAAUGCCUGUUCAUCUUAUUGCUAAUUUAUCCAUUGCAUUAGAUGAUACCAUAUAUGUUCUGGAAACACUAAUGCGCAUGUGGACUGCUGCUUUUUUUUUCAGAGAGAAACGGGUAGAAGUUUGACUGUGCCAACUUUUUAAUCUGUUUUGCAGCUUCUGGAAACAUACGCCAGCUUUAUUGUCUGCAAGGUGAUUGAACUGAUGUGUAUUUAUUGUGGAAGGUGUAAUCCUAGGCUUCCUAGGUCUUGUAAAGUAAGACCUCAGCUCAAUACCUCUGUAGCGCAUCCGGGCCACUGUCAAAAUUUUCGUCCAUUGCAGUUGCUGGUGUAAUUGUGUAUUUAUGACUGGAUAUAUAUCUGGUUACCCAAUUCGUAGUGGGUCAACGAAAGCAACUGGAGUAUGCGUGCAUAUUGUUUUCUAACCUCGGAUUCUGUUAUUAAGAUGGGGUUUUUUGGAUACACCUUAGGGCUUGUGGGUGGUUUGUGUGAGGAUAUGGUGGUACGUAACUGGGUGGAGAUGCUGGUAGCUGCACUGGAAUCGAUUUGUUUGCUGCUGAGAAAUAAAUCAAUAAUCUAAAUCAACUUUUUUUUAUUGUGUAAUAAUGGUUUUAGCAUAAACAUUAAAAUUGGUACUGGACCCUUGGAGUUUCUUUGCCAGCUGCUUGCCUAAGUCUUGUGUUUAAAAUUUUGUUAAAUCAUGUACUGUCGUCAGCAAAUUAUCCGGCCAAUCGAGGGUGUUUUUAUCACGUUUGCAUGGGCCAACAUUGCUUUGUUUUUUUUCUUUGUAAAUAUUAUUUGCUGUUGGGUUUUCAAUGCUGGGACUUCUGUAUAUGUUUAUCGUCCACAGGCUUGUCUAGAUGUUAGAAUAUGUUGUCCGUCGAAUUUUAGAUCCCUGAAGUGUAAGAAUGCUGGAAUACUUUUUGAAGGUGAUAACACCAAUUAAAGAAUUGUUUACUCCAUGAUUUCCUUAAUCAGAUAAAGAUAUCUAGUUCUUCUUGCACCGCUAGCAACCCAGCAUCAACGAAUGCAAGGCUAAGACAAAGGAGCAACGAAACAGGCCCUAAAUGAACCAUAUGAAUCAUAUUCAUGGACUGCUUGAGCUACACCAGUGGUGAUGCCUGCAACCAAAAACUUGUUUCAAUCGAAUCCCUCAGUCUUCUGUAGAAUGAAUAAUUCUUUCAACAGAAUAUUUUUCAUCAAUAAAAUUCAUGUACUUAGAAAAAAAGAAAAGAAAAAGCGACUUAUGCUGCAUAUGUUGACACAAGAAAUUCAGCUUACUGUAUCAAACACGUGUAUAAAAAGACUAAAUGCCAGUGGCACCAACCCUUAGUGACUUCCCCAAUCCAUUCAGUUGGCACCUACUAAACAUAGAUUUCUUCUCGAUUGAUUGAAAUUUCAACUAAUAUGCCAGAAAGUGAUUUGCAAAUUGUUUUUAUUGUCAACAGCCUCAUCACUCUGAUUUCCCAAGCACCACCUAAGCUCCCACAGAUCUCCCUGUCUCAGGCUCCAAGCAAAGUUUUUGCAGUAAUUAUGCAAAAUACCGUACUCUGAAACCCCAUGAGAAUUUCCUGUAAGUUCCAUAACCAAAUUCUGAUCAAGACUUAAAUUAUAUACUUCAUAAUUUCAGAUGCAUAAGAUUGAAUAUAGACAUUGGAAAGGUCCUGCUGCUGCUGUUAGACUGGAAAUUUAAUAGGUUCUUACACAAGUCAAAAAUUUUACCCAGUAUCUUGUCUUUCAAAGACUGAGGCCCUAAUGCUUCUGCUUUGAAAUAAAUCAACUGGAAUCAUUGGUUCUGAAAGGGCGCACAAUUGCAUCCGGUAAGUCCAGGAACCAACUAAAAGACCUGACUGGAUCAAUCGAUGAACUAUUUGAUCCAAGUCCCAGUAGCUGCAGCUUUAUCUAUUAAAUGUGGAGCUGAGAUAUUAGCUUUUCUGAGAGAUAUUGACCUGCUGCAGCACAAGAUGAUUUUGCCUAGAAUUUUUUCACAUGGACCUGAGCUCCUUCCUUUCUGCUUGAGUCAAGCAUAGCUUCUAAAACAGCGACAUCUCGGGCACCUUCAACAUAAGAACUGCGCGGUUCAGCUUUCUGGCCAGCAACUCCCUCCUGCACAAAACACAGCUCAGUUAGAGAUCCAUUUGUUUAAAAUAGACAUCAGAAUCUCUCUGUAACGAUUAUUUCAGACAUUAGAAUUGCUGCAUAUAACCUGAUUCUUCUCUUUGUUGCAAGGAGCAUUUUAAACAGAUGUAAAUCAUACACGGUAUGCAUCAUGUGGAACAGGGUUGUGUGCACAUUGUUUGGAGUGGCCCAACCCAAUUGGGAUCCAUCGCCCUCCUAGUACUAGCAAGUUGACAUCCUUGUUGGUCUAGGUCCAACACACCCAAAUAGACCUGACUUAUGUUAGUCCAAAUACCCAUGGUCAUGCAACCAGUGAUGCAAUUAGGGAAAAGAAUGCUUAUUAUCGCCUCUCUCUCUCUCUCUCUCUCUCUCUCUCUCUCUCUCUCUCUNNNNNNNNNNNNNNNNNNNNUCCUCUCUCUCUCUCUCUCUCUCUCUCUCUCUCUCUCUCUGUCUGGACUGGAGAUGGUAUCCUUGAAACUCAUGAUGAAGCAGCAGAGAAAACUAGAAUAGCAAAAUAUUAUGCAGCUUAUGUAAUUCGUUUUGAUACUGAAUGCACCUAGUGAUCAGCAAAUCAUCUGAUGCAAUCAAAGAUUUUCUGAUGGUAAGAGAUGUAAGUCUUUUGAUUAAUUUUAACCUAGCACUCAAAUCAAUGUAAAUUUAACUAUUUUCCAAGAAAAUAAAAAAGUUAAACAUGAUAUUUUCAUGUGUGUUUCCUUCUCCUUUAUAAAAUUAAAGCAAAAUAAUAGCAAAUCGACACGCACAUCUUCAUGCAUUAGGAUUAACUUUCAUUAUAGAAAAAAAUGUUAGUUCAUGGAUACUAUAUUGCUAAUUAGAUGCAACAGAAUCAAGAUUUUGUUGUAACAUUUGCUUGGGGUGAGAUCAUUAGUUUGUGAAAAAUUGAUGAAUGGCUACACAAAUUUUCUAAAAUUAACACAGGUGAGCAAAACAGAACUAUUGAAGUACCCAAUCUUUUGCUUCUAAAGAAUGGCAGUAAAAAUUUGACAUAGAUAAAAGAAAAUCAAAAUGGAAUGAUAAGUUAACAGUUUAAAGAGCAAAAAUACCUUAGUGGUAGCUUGCGUAAUGUCGUGAACAAAAGCCUUCAAUUCUUCAUUCACUCCAGAGAAUGGAUGGAAGGUUCUUUGACAAUGUCCAUCAGCCUUAUAUAACAGAACCUGCAACAGGAACACAUUAUAUCUGCCAAAUUAUUAUACAUAACUUUAAAAGGAGCAUGAUACAAAUUAAUUUGUAGAAUGAGCAAAGAACCCUGAAGUCACAAGGAAAAGCUGAGUUCUACUGUACCAUGUAGCCAUGCUGCCCAUUAUCACUUCCACGCUCAAUUUGAAGUGUUCCAUUUGAUCCAUCAACUCGCCAAUAAAUCUGAUAACAUAAGAAACAAAAGUCAAAAUGAUAGAUGUAUUUGGUGAAAAUACAUCCCAGAAAGAAAACAAAAGACACUCUUUAUUGUAAAACAGGCGAUUUCCAAGUUAUAAGUGACAAAAACAUUCCAUUUAUUGCCACUACUUCAAAAUUAAUAGCAACAUUUACAGAAGUGCUGUAUUGUUGAUGAAGAUGCAGAUUUAUAUAGAGCUUUGGAUCAAAUUUAUUUAGCACACCUUGGGUGAUGUUGAGGAUACGGCCAUAACAAACACCCCAGCACAGCCAUUUUCCAGUUGGCUACACAUACAAGAAUAGCUCAUUAAAAGUGGUUGGGAUUAUUAUAAGUUCAACAAAUUAAUUCAGAAAAUUUACAUUGCAGAAACUUACAAAAGGGCACAUAGAUUAUCAGGAGGUGGCAGCGCCAUAUCCACAUGACGGGCAAUAGCAGAUACUGUGGUAAUCUCGCAUCCAACAAUCUGUCCAAGCAUCCGAAAGAUACUAAUGUAUGUACAACGAGGAGUUGCUGUCAAGUAAGAUCAUGUCUAUGUACUUUCUGGAUCCCUCAUUGAGAUAUAAGUUUUAUACGAGUAAUCAUGCACAAGCAAAUUAAUCAGGAAAUAAUGUAUGCAGUGUUUGCUUAAAUCAUGAAGCAAGCUUGGAUUUGGAUAAUUGAUUGUCCACCAUCCACAUAAUCUCAAGGCGCAUAAAUGAAAAAUACUAUUUUCAUGGCGUGCUCAUAUCAUGCUAGAAAGCAAAUGAACAAAGGGCUCCAACAUAAUCCGAGAUCCUUCAUUCUCUUUUGGCUGUUUACUAAAAAGUCUUAUCGCAAUCCUGUUAGUUAUUAUGGUCAACUUCAUGUAACAUAGUUCUCCAUUCUUUUUUAUCAAAAACUCCAAUUCUUUUAAUCCAGAUUCUUUUCAGAUCCUACCAUCUGCUGCCCCCAGGCUACUCUACAUUUUUGUUUCUACCAAUGAAACCAUCAGGACCACAUCGCCUAUGUUUGUGCAACACCUAGGCUUAGUUUGAUUUAGUACUGACUUCAUCCUUUGUAACUUUGUUUUGCCCAAUUGUCUAAUCCAAAGCUUACCUUCAUAUACAUGCACUUCCCCAUAAUCAGAAUUUAUACAACACAACUUGUCUCACAAAACAUUCUUUUGAGCCUAAUGGGCAUAAAAUGAACAUUUCACAUUCUAGAAAUGUGUGUUCGGUUACUUAGCUCUAAUCAUACUAUUGCUCAUUUUCCAUCUUUUUGUAAAACAUAAGCAGGAUGAUGAAACAUUUUUGUAGCUAUGUUUCCACCAUUGAAGCUAGGCCUGCCUUUUUACAUACCUAAAUAACAAUAAAAUAUUGUUUAGGAGGAAUCAUGUAAGCUGUUGGAGUUUUAAACCUUGUAUUUAUGGGAAUCUUAGAGUGAUAAAUCAUGUUAUUACUCUACCAUCAUAACAUAAGCUAAUCUAUAAGGAAAAAUUCACAUUCUUUAUAAAAGAAAGCUUAUUAGAAAAUAUAGAGGUGGAAAGGACAUGCCUCCUUCCUGCAACAUGGAGAUACGUAAAGAAGGUAAAGUUAUUCCUUAAAUCAUUUCUUCAAACACUGUAAUUGGCAAGAGAAUUGCCAAUAUUCACAUUAAGUUGGACAUUUUGAAAAGUGAAUUUUUUCACCUGGGAGACACGAUCCAUAUCUUUGUUCAUGACUUGGUAAUGUUAGUAAGAUAUUCCAGCACGAAUCACUCCAAAGAAACAACAUUCUAUAAAGCUCCUUCCACAAUGUAGACAUCACUUAAGUAACUAUAAUAAAAACAAAAUCUUCCAGGCAUAGCCUUCUCCAGGUUUUAUAUAUUAUAUACAUAUGAAUGUGUAUGUGUGUCUAUUCUUUUGGAUAGAGCUGAAUAAGACAAAGCAAAUUCUUACAAAGAGGAAAAGUCUAACACAUGCUAUAUGUCUUCCUUCUGUUGAACAUAGCUUUCUUUAAUUUGUUUUAACUACAUGCAAGCUUAUGUUUUAGAUUCUGCAAAACUUCAAGAAGGUCCAGUUUAUUCCAAGAAGUACUUCCAGAAUGUCUGAAAUCCUUCUCUCAUACUAUAUGCUCCUUAAUUUUUGUCCCCACUCUGCUGUUGUUGUCUUAUAGAUAAUCCUGACUUUUAAAAAUGGAUGAGGUCUUGUGGCCAUAAUGGUGACCCUUUCAUAAAAGACACAUUUCAAGAAAUACCUGACAUUAUUCAAACAAGCUUUCGAUUGACUUCAAUAUGACUAUAUGACACCUUUAUGUUGAAACAAAGUCUAUGAAGCACUCCAAGUUUAAUCUGAGAAGUCAUUUCAACCAUAUGGUGCUUUUUAUUUCCUUUUGUUCUUUCCUAUACAUGGGAUAGGGCACGCAGGUCAACAGUAAGUUCUAUUUGAUAUGCUACAAUAUUUCCUUAGACAUUCCAGAAAGGUACAAGGUUGCCAGCCAUGAUUAUGACUUCGCCAAUAUUCUCAAGAUAUAUAUAUUGAGUUUUCAAUACAACCAUAAUUCAUAAGUUCUUGUGCUUGCAAGACUAGUUCCAAAGCAUGACUACAUAAAUGAACCAUCUUUUGACCAAAAAAGUUCCUGAUUCAACUUGUGAAAAGCGGAAAACAUUAUGCAAUAACUACUUGAAGACUGCAUAGUUAAGUUUGAAAACAAAGUCAACCAAUGAACUUCUGACCAAAACUGCUCCUUGAAACAACCCUACAAAGACCAAGAGUGCAACAGAAUAGUUGUGGUUUGCUAAGCCCAACUAGUUCUAGAAUAUUUGGAAUUUCAAGAAAGGUAAAUCCUUUCUUCUAAUUCUAAAUAUCAAGUAUGUCUCUCUUUUAAGGUCAAUGAGGCUAAGAUACUUGACAUUGUCACUUAAGCAUCAUUAAUUUUGAACUCCAGCGAAUCACCACUUCCCAAGAUUUUCAAGCUCUAUUUCCCAUAAGAAAAUUAGAAUUAAAAUAAAGGACCAGAGAUAACACAUAUUAAAAGAAAAAAAAUCAAGAAGCUUGGAUUUUAAGUAGAUGAAAAUAUAGAGUGCUUUUGUAAAUAUAAACAUUUUUUUCACCAUUAUGACAUCAUUCUCAGCUCAUUGCUGUCUACUGCCUAGUGUCUACCCAUUAAGACCCUUACAUGCAAAUGAUACUAUUUGUCGAACAUGAUAGCCCAGACUAUGGCCAGACCUUUGGUGAGUUGCAGCUAUCUGAUGUAUAGCCAUUCCACAUGUUCUCACAGUGACAUUUCUUAAAACUAUUUAAUUUGAAAAGAAUGCAUUAUCACUCAAAGUAACUGCCAUAGUCUAUGCCAAAGAAUGAAUUUUCAGCUACUAUCAAGAAAAAGAAAAACAAUCCUUUUAUUCAUUUUCAGACUGAUAGCCAGCAUUAAGAAUACUUGAAAGGUUGGUAGAUGAAAUCUGUGGGUAAUGAACAAAUAUAUUUAAAAAGGAAAAAGAAAAACUAAGAUGUUAAACCCGAUUAGCAGCAUUUUACCAAGAUAACCAACAAGUCAAUCCUUGCAUAUCUCAUUUUCCAGGGUAAUUAAGUCAAUCUAGUUCAACUAAAAUCAAGCUACCUGUCAACUUCAGCAAUAAUGGAGGAACCUACCAUUCUCAAUCCAGCAAUGAAGUGUACACCCAUAUCUAGAAUAAAACCACCCUGCAAAAUUGAAUAAGUCAUUUUAACUGAGGAUACAGAAUCUGACAUGACCAGGUUCAGCUACACAUGAAGCUCAAGGUGGCCUCUGACUUGUUAUCCAGCUAGGCUUAAAUCUUAUACUGUAAGCAGCAAGUAUGCGGUGACAGAUACUUGCAUAGGAUCUAAGAGAUGUGUGCAUGCAUCAAUUAAUGAAGAAUUGAAGAGGUACAUAUCCAUAAUUUUAAACUACCAAAGGAAGCAAGAAAAUUUUCGAUAUGCUUUGUUUAUGUAAAUGACAUGGAAGAGCCCAUACAUCACUAGAUUUGGAAGACAGUUGAAAAGUCAACAAACAACACUGGGCUACCAAGUCCAAAUUUAUCACAUGAUAACCUUACAAGAAAAGUAUAUGAUUAAGGCACCAUUUGAGAUUGCUUAUUGGGACUUUUGGGUGGGGGGCGCUUUUUGAGCCCAAAAGGCACUUAUGGGUGAUAGGUGGAUGUUUGGUAAAAGACUUGAAAUUUCUGAUCCUCCCAGAAGCUGAAAUAUCUCUACUUGGUAAAAGCUCCAACUUGGAGCUUCUCCCCAAAGUGCUUUUUGAAGCCCAUUUGGAUGUUGUUUGUUUGGCUAAAAUACCUUUAAAUUUUACACUAUAUUCUAUUAAUAUGACAAUAAUAUUAUCCUAAAAUAUUACAUUCAUAAAUCAUAAUAAUAUUUAUUAUGUAAUAAUAUAGUAAUAUGUAAUAAUAAUUGUCAUAUUUUAUAUCAAAAUAUUGUAUUAUAAUUAUUAACUAAUAAUAGAUAUAUAUUAUAAUAUUAUAAUACUAUAUUAUAUUGUCUUAUAUUAUUCUAAUAUUCUGACAAUAUUACGUUACUAUCAUUAUUAUAUCAUAAUAAUCAUAAUUUAAUAAUAUAAAAUCAUUAUAUUUCUAUAAUAUUAUACUACUCUAUCACAAUAUUAUACUAUUAAAAAUAAAUAAUUUGCAAAUUAAGAAUACUUUAUAAUGCCAGUUCCUAAAUAUACAAAGAGCAUGACCAAAGAUGGCAGAAAGGGUGGAGGGAGAGGGAGAACAGGAGAGAGAAAAAGAGAGGGAGAGGGAGAGGAAGUGAGGGAGAAAGGAGGGUGGCAGACGCCUGACAAAGGCUGAUGGCGGGCCGCGAAAGCCCAAGGAGAUGCAUGGAGGGGCUCCACCUCCAAUUCCCCUAUUGCAUUUGAAAUAGGAGUCUUGGAGGGGGCCUCUUUUUAUUUUCAAAGAUUUUAAGUGAAGUUGGCAAAUCCCUUGUCGACUUCACUUGAUUUUUUUCACAAUAAUUUUUGCUGACUUCACUUAAAAUUUUUGAAAAUAAAAAGAGGCCUCCUCCCGGAUUGUUCCGAACGAAAUAGGAGAAUCAAAGGCAGAGCCCCUCCUCCGCCCCUUUGAGGCCCUCCGUUGGCCUCUGCUGGCCAUCCGCCACCUUCCCUCUCCCUUCCUUCCUCUUCCUCUCUCCCCCCUCUCUCUCCUCUCUUUCCUUCUCCCUCCCCCUGUUUGUCACUGGUUUUUCGUUUUGCUUGCCCAAACCAUCUCGGUCCACCACUGGUAUGGCUCAGUACACCCCUAACCGUGCGGUUCGAGAUGAUUCCAUGAUCCUUGGUUGGAAAGAAUACAAUAGACCUAGAAUUAUGAGAUUUAAACUUAGACCACGAAAGUAUUGAAGUGCAUUAGUCAAUUGCUAGGCCAGCAUAUGCCACAAAUGCAAAUAGCAAGCAAAUUUUGCCUAUGUAAAUCCUUACAAUAAAUUUUCGCCUCCAAGAGCUUGAGAAGUAAGGGUUCGAACUAUUCAUUGAUCCUUCAACAAUAACUUGGAUGUUCAUCAUAUCACCGAUUUCAUUUAUUAAUUUCCUGGCCUGCAAAACAGAGUUAAGAGAAUAUUACUAAUAAAAUGGUUUACAUAGAAUCUAGUAAAAAUAGCAAAAAGUGGAUACCUCCACAAAUGCAGGUUCAAAGCGGUAAUUUUCUGCAACAGCCCAAAUUGGUUGGCUGCGGAAAUGGUCGCACAGGGAUUUAUAGCGUGACAGUGCAGUGUCCGCCUCACUAGUUGCUGAUAGUUCAAUAAUGAGAUCGAUUUAUUGUUUGAAUAACAUGUGACCGCAUAAAAAUAACACAUCCACUAUAGAUAUUUUAUAUCAAUUGAUUAAAAAAAAGAGAAUAAAUAUUAAUAAACAUAAUAAGCUUACUCAAAUUUUAUUGUAUUUACCUUCAGGAGCAAAAUGCUAUUUCUUCCCUAAAUAAUUGUACUCUCAUCAUGUUGUUUCAUAACAAUAUAUUAUAAUGAGCAAAAACAUGUUUAAUUCAAGAAAAGUGAACAAAUUAUGCUUGGAGAGGCAAUAACUGGCUAAAAGAUAUAAGAGUCAAAAAACGAACAUACAUCUAGAGGCUUUUUUAAAAAUGUAACAAACAAAGAGGAACGAGUGCUUCAGAAUUGGUUCUGACUGGGCAGAACACCAAAAUUCUUCAAAGUUGUCUUGUUUCUGUAACGAACAAAUACAUGUCGUCCCUUGCCCAGUGGUCAUGGAGAAUAAAUGUUAUUAGAGGUAGCAAAUCACAUUUGUGUGCACCAGCAGUUGUUGUGCCUGAUGGCACUAUUGGUGUCACUGGUAGUGAUCAGAGUGGAAACUAUCCUACCAUUCACAUUGUCAGCCCUGUAAUAAUAGCACCAGCACAACUACCAUGGAAAAAUGGCAUUUGACUGUUCUACUUGAAUUUGUCCAACACUUAAUCUUUCCCAAUCAACAAGGAAAUUUAAAUACAGACAGAUGAUACAAAGAAUAAUAUUAAAGACAUAUAAGUGAAAAGAAGAUGGUGUGGCAUGACCUAACAAGGCUAUCUCUCAUGAUUAAUUGUAUCCUACAUGCUACCAGGUUAACUUAUAAGUGCUUUGUAAAAGAUCCAUAGGCUAAUAACCAAUGAAUAAAGGAAGACUUCAGCUCCUAGCAUACUCUGUUACAGAAAUGCCUCCACAUUUCUUCCCAACAAAUAUCCUCGCAAAGACAGCAAAAUAUAACUACCCAAACAAGAAGUGUACCACAAAAGGAAGUAGAAAAUGCAUUUGUGAAGAUACCAGAGGUCCAUAAAUAAGUGGUUAAGAUGUGGAAAAAAAAAGCGCAAACAGCAGACACUCUCUUUAAUGGUAUGACUUUUUUUUUUCACAUAGUAAGUCAAAGGUACAUAGAAACUAAAAGAAAUAUGUUUUUUUAAGAAGCAUCACAUAUAAUCUUGAUAAAAAGCAUAAAAGAGUAUCGCAUCACUACAGCGUCAGUGUAAAUUUAUAACAAACAGACAUGUAAUUCGAGACAGAGACUUGCAUUAAAAAAAAAAAAGCAUAUAACAAUGAAGAACUUCAAUCUAACUGGUACUGCUUUGUUGAGCAUUAAUUUCCAAGAACGAUUAGAACACAAGUUGAAAGGUAGUUUCCAAAUGAUUAGCCACUAAAUCGUGCCAAAGUUCUGGAUCUAAGUCAUACGAACUAAAGGAUACUUACAUUCAGCAGCAGGUUUCUCUUUCGCCCAGCAUAUCCAUUAGUCAUGCAGAAAAUAAAAACAAAUUAGGAUUUGUAUGAUGGGAUUGGCAAAAAUGUGAUAUGAGCCUCUAAAGGGAAGGACGAUAUUGCCAAGGUUGUCUUCACUGUUCUUCACAAUACCUUGAAUAACAUGCUUUCCCAUCUUUAACAUUUUCAGGGAAAUGUCAACCUGCAAGUUUAAUUAGCUAUAUCAGUAGCAACUUUCUUUGAACCAUAAAACAAACUAAACAACAAUUGAGUUUCAUUACAUGUAUAAGUAAACUGUAUUGGUUGCUAGAAUACGAACAAGGGAAACUUUUAGCUUCUAAAAAGUACCAGGGGAACAAGCAGCUCCAAAAGGACACAAUUUAGAGAAAUGUGGGGCGUUAACCUUCUUUAGUAAAAUCUUUUCCAUCUCAUUAUAUCAUCUAUUAUGUCAUAUGCCUAUAUUUGAAAAGAAAAUUAGGAACUAAGAGCAACCUCUUGAAUAAUUUGUAGAAUAUGAACAUGCAGAUGGCAGGAUACAGAACCAGAUAUGUCGAUGCCAGGUAGGUGCUUCCUCCAUAAGAGUAUGUAAAACUAACAUGUGAUGAUGUCCACUUUGGAGACCACAGGAGGCAUGGGAUAAAGAUAUUGAGCGAAUGCUCUUCAGAAAAGAUUAUGGUUGUUCCAGACAAGUCGAUAUCACUGACUUCAAUGGAGCUGAACACUUUUCCUACUUUAUGGUCUUAAACUCCCAGUGAGAUUACAUAUGAUAGGGCCAUGAUUGAGGAUCAGAUAACUCGAUGAACUUAAAACUGACAGUGCUCGAUAAAAUAGAGGUGGUUCCCGGUGGUUGCAUGCCUACACUUUGUGCAUGUAAUAAGAAAUGGCAACGUGGCUGAUGAUACUUUAGCAAACAAGUAGGCAAUUGCAUAUUGGUGAUUUAGCCAAGCAGAUGUCAUGUCACGUUUUAUUCUCAUACUUUAUUAACAUUUUUUAAAGUUAACUACAUCUUUAUUAUUCUACUAUCUCACUUUGCUUUCCUUGCACAAGUUUAUAAGCUUUAAACAAAGUUAUAUUAUUAAUCAAAUUACAAAACCAACUUUCUUUCAAGCACUUAAAAAGUAAUUGAAUCACCAGUCUUUUCAUGUGUUUGGGAUCCCUAUCUUGGGUUGCCAAAUUUCAAAAGCUCUAGAAAAUGUUAUGGUCCUUGAAAAUGGAGUGUUGACAGCAGCAUGUAACCACCUCAGUCUUCUGGACUUUGUAACUGCUAGUCAACUUGUGCCAGCAGGAGAUGUCAUGUAAUUUGGACCAAAGUAAUUACUGACUUUGCAUAAGCAUUCUCAAUUUAUCUUUCUUUUUCUUUUUUCUAGGUGCAGGUUGCAGGAGGGGGAAUUGAACAUCACCAAACAAUGUAGCAAGUAGCAUCAAGUUCCAUUGUAACACUUGAUUGUUUUAUUGAUAUAUUUAUAGUUCCAAUAGCAUGUAGCAUCAAGUUUGCACUCAAACCUGAACUUGCCCAGCAAGGACGACCACAACUCCUUUUAUUGAACUAUCCUGAAUAAUAUCUUCAAGGCCCGAGUCACCCCAUUUACAUUCUACUUGUGGCGCAAAAUCACGUGCAAGUUCCACAGCAGCUUUUGCAGAUUCCUAUUUAGAAUGCCAUGUGACAAUAGGUAAAGCAGAUGCAUGCUCCAAAAUCAUUGUAGAAAAACAAUCAAGUGUUACAAUGGAACGAAUAACAUACCUCACUACGACUCCAAAUUGCUUUAAUAAUCACAUGAUCAGCUAUCUCCCUUAGCCUAGGAAUAUACUGUGUGCGCACAAAGAUACCUGCACCAAUUAUCGCAAUCUGGGGAAGCGUGACAUCUGGAGUAGCCAUGUUCCCUUCAAAUCACAGCUGCAGGCUCAUUCACAUGUUUGAAGAAUAAUUAUUAGAAAACAAAACAUACUCAAUUCUCCCACCAGAGCAAAUCAAAGAUUGGGUCAGUAUAAUUAUCAGUGAUUUCGAAUAUAGACAGGAAUGCAAAGACACCCGACUACCAUUAAAUGAUCAAUCUGAUAACUUUUUUUUUUAUAAUAAAACAAAGCAGUUGCAAAAUUGCUUAAAAUUUACCAAUACCCUUGAAGAAACUAAGAUGUGAUAUUAUAUCAAAUUCAACCAAAUAAACGGAAAAAUCAGAAGCAAACCAUCACAAAUUUCCACAAACGAGAAAUAGGCGUAAUGCGUGUUCCCUUCGACUGCCCAAAAUCACAAAUUAACUAAGACUAACAGCAAGAUCUGCAAGAAUAUUUCUAGUGGCUUAGAAGUUAAAUAAAUAUACGAUACCAGAUCAAAUAUCGGGCAAGGAGCAUUUGCCAAAUUAACCAAGCAGACUUGCGGAAAAUAAGCUCAGAUGCCCUUCGGAGACGAAAACGGAGAAAACUAAGUUUACGAGCAACUUU
rnacentral:lncRNA from 1 species